rnacentral:lncRNA from 1 species
AAGUCGACGUUCGUGGUGGUAUAUAGGGGGCGCUAGCGAGCCAUUUUUUAAUCACUUUUUUUGGGUCACUUUAUAACAUUGCGAUUCUUCGCUGGGCCCAACCUGCCUGCAAAUUUUCUUGAGUUUUCGAGGUCGUUCAGCGGGUCAAAUUUGUGUUUUCGGAGGCCGUAAGAUAAUAAACAUAAUAAUAAUAAUAAUAAUAAUAAUCGAGAACCCCUUGGGUUUCAAUAGGGCUUUGCUGCACAGCUGCGCUGUCGGCUCGGGUCCUAAUUAUAUCAGUAGAAGUUCAGAGGAAAUAGAACUUUUCCUCUUUCAAGACUGCCAAAUCUUAAAAUAAUUCACUGAUUGGAGGAAUGAAGCCCAAGAAAUUAAGCUGUGAACGUUUCAAGUUAAUUCGUGCAAAAAAAAGUACUCUUUUGAGUAAUGAUGGGGCUGUCACAACAGCUCACGGACUUUUGAACGGUAUGAAUGAAGUAAUUAGAUCACGACCUCAGCUGCUGAUAAGUUGAAGCUCUGGGCUCUGAGCCACCUCCUGACUUUUCUGAAGUUGCCCCCUUGAAGAAUAAGAGGUCCUCAUGAAUCCUGGGAUGAAAAGGGGAAACAUUUAUAUAAAUAUAUUUCUCAAGCUGGCCUCUCGUCCAGCUGGAGAAUUCACUGGCACCCCGGAGAGCCGUUGCCGACCAGCCUGGCCAAACUCCCACACAUUACUACUGUACAGAGUCAAAUGAGGAAGAGGUGGGAGUGUAGUCUGCUCUGAGCAUCUUCUAGUUUCAGCUGACUUCCUUAAAUAGGGCAGAGUGACGCUCUCAGGAUAGUUCUCAGCUUAAUGUGGCUGAAAAUAUUUUAAUUAUGCAGGUGUACAGUCUGUACAGUGGACAGAAAACAGACUGUGUGCUUAAUUACUGUCUCCUUGUACUUGCUCUGACAGUUAAAGGGAGGUAAAAUGCCUUGUGUUUAGUUUCUGGCAGUUACAGUUUCACUAAAAACACUUUUGUAAAUGUUUUUUAUGACAUGAAUUAUGUGUUAGCAUGAGAAAACGCAAGCCUUUUACCCUGGCAAAGACGUCUCACCAGCUUGUUUUCCAAUCUGCUCCCUCUAGUCGCUCAAAUGUCCAUCAACUGUUUACCGUGAGAAGAACAUUUUCUACAGAUUGGGCGUCUAUGUGAGAAAAUACGAGUUUUAUUUUUAAAACGUCCUCAUAAUGCAUUGUCUGCUGCUAAAGAGCAACUUAUCCUCCCUAAAGACUGAGUAGCCAAGAAAAAUAGGAGAGUCUGAUUCAUGGGUUCACGAGCAAAUUCGAGUCUAUUCUCAGCAGUGCUUUGGCCCUUUCACCAUAAUACCAUACUUAGUCUGUGGAGAUAAUGUUGUUUGAGAGCAAAUGGUGUUUUGACUAUUAAUGGAUGGCUCAGGAAAGUGGGUGGUAUGAGAAAGAGGGGUUUGGGUAAUAAAACUGCCAGAGUGUAUACAAUCAUGUUCAGAGCUUUAGUACUUAUCUCUUUGUGUGAUUGUACAAAUGAAAGUUAAUGGCUGAGAAUAUGCACACGUUCGUUUAUUGGCAUAACAUCUGUCAAACGUUUGAUGUUUUGUGAGGAUAAAAAUGUAAUUGGUUUGAACAAGAGUUCUGGCCCCAUCACUAUUUCUCUGGUGCUGUGGUGCACUUGCAUGAGGACACAUAUCCUUCACUAUUUCUGUGCAGUUCAUCAAAUUUGGACAUUUGGGAAUUGGCAUGCAGCCUUCUAGUAAACUUAAAACUUGUUUGGUAGUAAAGUGGACAUGCAAGGAGAAUUUUAACAGGACAUUUACUUUGUCUACGUCUGAACAUACUACAUUGACACCAAAAUCAUACAACCACUAGGUGGCAGCAGAAACAAGGGGUGAGUGUAACACUGACAUAUCACCCCCUUUUAAAUUAUUAGCAAAACAGUGUUUACACAUUUAGCAUCAUCACUCUCUUGCUUGUUGUGUCAUUGUUCACCUGCUAACUAGAGUUCCCAGCUACACAGUCUGUCUGCCUUCCUCUGUGGAACUUCUGUUAGUCCAGAUUUUAACGUCUCCCCUGGACACUGUGUUGAUCUUGUUCGUGCAAAAGGUAUAGGGUCUUGUAGCUGAAUGUGGGUAGAUUUUCGAUUUGAUAGAUUAAUAUUUGUGCCACAAUUGUAGUGCAUUAAAAGGAAAAACUACAAUGAGUGUAAACCAUGUUUUGGUAAACCUAUACCUCUUUUCCUGCUCCUUUGCAGUCUGCAUACAAGCAAACAUAAUGUAUAAUCAGCAAAUGUUUAUAUAAGUACUCAACACUUACAUACUGUAUGUGAAUCAUACAUGUGUUAUCCCUAGUCGCUCAACCUGGAUAUUUAUAGAGGUGGAAAGGCUGUUGAUUCAACAGAAUAUUAAAUACAAAUAAAUGAGAAGUGGAUAUACAAUAUUUAUUAGCCAAUUAUUAAAGUAGUCACUCCUCGGGCUAGGGUUAGGGUUGGGCUUGGAGCUAGGAUUUUUCUGAGUGCAAUGAACCAACUCCCGAGUCUCUAGGACGUUCCUAAAAAAAAUUGAUUUUUUCCCAUAGGAAUGCAUGGGUUAGGGUUAGGGUUAGGGUUGGAGCUAGGGUUAGGGUUAGGGUUAGGGUUGGAGUUAGGGUUAGUGUUGGAGCUAGGGUUAGGGUUGGGCUUGGAGCUAGGAUUUUUCUGAGUGCAAUGAACCAACUCCCGAGUCUCUAGGACGUUCCUAAAAAAAUUUGAUUUUUUCCCAUAGGAAUGCAUGGGUUAGGGUUAGGGUUAGGGUUGGAGCUAGGGUUAGGGUUAGGGUUAGGGUUGGAGUUAGGGUUAGUGUUGAAGCUAGGGUUAGGGUUGGGCUUGGAGCUAGGAUUUUUCUGAGUGCAAUGAACCAACUCCUGAGUCUCUAGGACGUUCCUAAAAAAAAUUGAUUUUUUCCCAUAGGAAUGCAUGGGUUAGGGUUAGGGUUAGGGUUGGAGCUAGGGUUAGGGUUAGGGUUGGAGUUAGGGUUAGUGUUGGAGCUAGGGUUAGGGUUGGGCUUGGAGCUAGGAUUUUUCUGAGUGCAAUGAACCAACUCCCGAGUCUCUAGGACGUUCCUAAAAAAAUUUGAUUUUUUUCCCAUAGGAAUGCAUGGGUUAGGGUUAGGGUUAGGGUUGGAGCUAGGGUUAGGGUUAGGGUUAGGGUUGGAGUUAGGGUUAGUGUUGGAGCUAGGGUAAGGUUUGGGCUUGGAGCUAGGAUUUUUCUGAGUGCAAUGAACCAACUCCCGAGUCUCUAGGACGUUCCUAAAAAAAUUUGAUUUUUUCCCAUAGGAAUGCAUGGGUUAGGGUUAGGGUUAGGGUUGGAGCUAGGGUUAGGGUUAGGGUUAGGGUUGGAGUUAGGGUUAGUGUUGGAGCUAGGGUUAGGGUUGGGCUUGGAGCUAGGAUUUUUCUGAGUGCAAUGAACCAACUCCCGAGUCUCUAGGACGUUCCUAAAAAAAUUUGAUUUUUUCCCAUAGGAAUGCAUGGGUUAGGGUUAGGGUUAGGGUUGGAGCUAGGGUUAGGGUUAGGGUUAGGGUUGGAGUUAGGGUUAGUGUUGGAGCUAGGGUUAGGGUUGGGCUUGGAGCUAGGAUUUUUCUGAGUGCAAUGAACCAACUCCAGAGUCUCUAGGACGUUCCUAAAAAAAUUUGAUUUUUUCCCAUAGGAAUGCAUGGGUUAGGGUUAGGGUUAGGGUUGGAGCUAGGGUUAGGGUUAGGGUUAGGGUUGGAGUUAGGGUUAGUGUUGGAGCUAGGGUUAGGGUUGGGCUUGGAGCUAGGAUUUUUCUGAGUGCAAUGAACCAACUCCCGAGUCUCUAGGACGUUCCUAAAAAAAUUUGAUUUUUUCCCAUAGGAAUGCAUGGGUUAGGGUUAGGGUUAGGGUUGGAGCUAGGGUUAGGGUUAGGGUUAGGGUUGGAGUUAGGGUUAGUGUUGGAGCUAGGGUUAGGGUUGGGCUUGGAGCUAGGAUUUUUCUGAGUGCAAUGAACCAACUCCUGAGUCUCUAGGACGUUCCUAAAAAAAUUGAUUUUUUCCCAUAGGAAUGCAUGGGUUAGGGUUAGGGUUAGGGUUGGAGCUAGGGUUAGGGUUAGGGUUAGGGUUGGAGUUAGGGUUAGUGUUGGAGCUAGGGUUAGGGUUGGGCUUGGAGCUAGGAUUUUUCUGAGUGCACUGAACCAACUCCCGAGUCUCUAGGACGUUCCUAAAAAAAUUUGAUUUUUUCCCAUAGGAAUGCAUGGGUUAGGGUUAGGGUUAGGGUUGGAGCUAGGGUUAGGGUUAGGGUUAGGGUUGGAGUUAGGGUUAGUGUUGGAGCUAGGGUUAGGGUUGGGCUUGGAGCUAGGAUUUUUCUGAGUGCAAUGAACCAACUCCCGAGUCUCUAGGAAGUUCCUAAAAAAAUUUGAUUUUUUCCCAUAGGAAUGCAUGGGUUAGGGUUAGGGUUAGGGUUGGAGCUAGGGUUAGGGUUAGGGUUAGGGUUGGAGUUAGGGUUAGUGUUGGAGCUAGGGUUAGGGUUGGGCUUGGAGCUAGGAUUUUUCUGAGUGCAAUGAACCAACUCCCGAGUCUCUAGGACGUUCCUAAAAAAAUUUGAUUUUUUCCCAUAGGAAUGCAUGGGUUAGGGUUAGGGUUGGAGCUAGGGUUAGGGUUAGGGUUAGGGUUGGAGUUAGGGUUAGUGUUGGAGCUAGGGUUAGGGUUGGGCUUGGAGCUAGGAUUUUUCUGAGUGCAAUGAACCAACUCCCGAGUCUCUAGGACGUUCCUAAAAAAAUUUGAUUUUUUCCCAUAGGAAUGCAUGGGUUAGGGUUAGCGUUAGGGUUGGAGCUAGGGUUAGGGUUAGGGUUAGGGUUGGAGUUAGGGUUAGUGUUGGAGCUAGGGUUAGGGUUGGGCUUGGAGCUAGGAUUUUUCUGAGUGCAGUGAACCAACUCCCGAGUCUCUAGGACGUUCCUAAAAAAAUUUGAUUUUUUCCCAUAGGAAUGCAUGGGUUAGGGUUAUGGUUAGGGUUAGGGUUGGAGCUAGGGUUAGGGUUAGGGUUAGGGUUGGAGUUAGGGUUAGUGUUGGAGCUAGGGUUAGGGUUGGGCUUGGAGCUAGGGUUUUUCUGAGUGCAAUGAACCAACUCCCGAGUCUCUAGGACGUUCCUAAAAAAAUUUGAUUUUUUCCCAUAGGAAUGCAUGGGUUAGGGUUAGGGUUAGGGUUGGAGCUAGGGUUAGGGUUAGGGUUAGGGUUGGAGUUAGGGUUAGUGUUGGAGCUAGGGUUAGGGUUGGGCUUGGAGCUAGGAUUUUUCUGAGUGCAAUGAACCAACUCCCGAGUCUCUAGGACGUUCCUAAAAAAAUUUGAGUUUUUUCCCAUAGGAAUGCAUGGGUUAGGGUUAUGGUUAGGGUUAGGGUUGGAGCUAGGGUUAGGGUUAGGGUUAGGGUUGGAGUUAGGGUUAGUGUUGGAGCUAGGGUUAGGGUUGGGCUUGGAGCUAGGAUUUUUCUGAGUGCAAUGAACCAACCCCGAGUCUCUAGGACGUUCCUAAAAAAAUUUGAUUUUUUCCCAUAGGAAUGCAUGGGUUAGGGUUAGGGUUAGGGUUGGAGCUAGGGUUAGGGUUAGGGUUAGGGUUGGAGUUAGGGUUAGUGUUGGAGCUAGGGUAAGGUUUGGGCUUGGAGCUAGGAUUUUUCUGAGUGCAAUGAACCAACUCCCGAGUCUCUAGGACGUUCCUAAAAAAAUUUGAUUUUUUUCCCAUAGGAAUGCAUGGGUUAGGGUUAGGGUUAGGGUUGGAGCUAGGGUUAGGGUUAGGGUUAGGGUUGGAGUUAGGGUUAGUGUUGGAGCUAGGGUUAGGGUUGGGCUUGGAGCUAGGAUUUUUCUGGGUGCAAUGAACCAACUCCCGAGUCUCUAGGACGUUCCUAAAAAAAUUUGAUUUUUUCCCAUAGGAAUGCAUGGGUUAGGGUUAUGGUUAGGGUUAGGGUUGGAGCUAGGGUUAGGGUUAGGGUUAGGGUUGGAGUUAGGGUUAGUGUUGGAGCUAGGGUUAGGGUUGGGCUUGGAGCUAGGAUUUUUCUGAGUGCAAUGAACCAACUCCCGAGUCUCUAGGACGUUCCAAAAAAAAUUUGAUUUUUUCCCAUAGGAAUGCAUGGGUUAGGGUUAUGGUUAGGGUUGGAGCUAGGGUUAGGGUUAGGGUUAGGGUUGGAGUUAAGGUUAGUGUUGGAGCUAGGGUUAGGGUUGGGCUUGGAGCUAGGAUUUUUCUGAGUGCAGUGAACCAACUCCCGAGUCUCUAGGACGUUCCUAAAAAAAAUUGAUUUUUUCCCAUAGGAAUGCAUGGGUUAGGGUUAGGGUUAGGGUUAGGGUUGGAGCUAGGGUUAGGGUUAGGGUUAGGGUUGGAGUUAGGGUUAGUGUUGGAGCUAGGGUUAGGGUUGGGCUUGGAGCUAGGAUUUUUCUGAGUGCAAAGAACCAACCCCCGAGUCUCUAGGACGUUCCUAAAAAAAUUUGAUUUUUUCCCAUAGGAAUGCAUGGGUUAGGGUUAUGGUUAGGGUUAGGGUUGGAGCUAGGGUUAGGGUUAGGGUUAGGGUUGGAGUUAGGGUUAGUGUUGGAGCUAGGGUUAGGGUUGGGCUUGGAGCUAGGAUUUUUCUGAGUGCAAUGAACCAACUCCCGAGUCUCUAGGACGUUCCUAAAAAAAUUUGAUUUUUUCCCAUAGGAAUGCAUGGGUUAGGGUUAGGGUUAGGGUUGGAGCUAUGGUUAGGGUUAGGGUUAGGGUUGGAGUUAGGGUUAGUGUUGGAGCUAGGGUUAGGGUUGGGCUUGGAGCUAGGAUUUUUCUGAGUGCAAUGAACCAACUCCCGAGUCUCUAGGACGUUCCUAAAAAAAUUGGAUUUUUUCCCAUAGGAAUGCAUGGGUCAGGGUUAGGUUUAGGGUUGGAGCUAGGGUUAGGGUUAGGGUUAGUGUUGGAGCUAGGGUUAGGGUUGGGCUUGGAGCUAGGAUUUGUCUGAGUGCAAUGAACCAACUCCCGAGUCUCUAGGACGUUCCUAAAAAAAUUUGAUUUUUUCCCAUAGGAAUGCAUGGGUUAGGGUUAGGGUUAGGGUUGGAGCUAGGGUUAGGGUUAGGGUUAGGGUUGGAGUUAAGGUUAGUGUUGGAGCUAGGGUUAGGGUUGGGCUUGGAGCUAGGAUUUUUCUGAGUGCAGUGAACCAACUCCCGAGUCUCUAGGACGUUCCUAAAAAAAUUUGAUUUUUUCCCAUAGGAAUGCAUGGGUUAGGGUUAUGGUUAGGGUUAGGGUUGGAGCUAGGGUUAGGGUUAGGGUUAGGGUUGGAGUUAGGGUUAGUGUUGGAGCUAGGGUUAGGGUUGGGCUUGGAGCUAGGAUUUUUCUGAGUGCAAUGAACCAACCCCCGAGUCUCUAGGACGUUCCUAGAAAAAUUUGAUUUUUUCCCAUAGGAAUGCAUGGGUUAGGGUUAUGGUUAGGGUUAGGGUUGGAGCUAGGGUUAGGGUUAGGGUUAGGGUUGGAGUUAGGGUUAGUGUUGGAGCUAGGGUUAGGGUUGGGCUUGGAGCUAGGAUUUUUCUGAGUGCAAUGAACCAACUCCCGAGUCUCUAGGACGUUCCUAAAAAAAUUUGAUUUUUUCCCAUAGGAAUGCAUGGGUUAGGGUUAGGGUUAGGGUUGGAGCUAGGGUUAGGGUUAGGGUUGGAGUUAGGGUUAGUGUUGGAGCUAGGGUUAGGGUUGGGCUUGGAGCUAGGAUUUUUCUGAGUGCAAUGAACCAACUCCCGAGUCUCUAGGACGUUCCUAAAAAAAUUUGAUUUUUCCCAUAGGAAUGCAUGGGUCAGGGUUAGGGUUAGGGUUGGAGCUAGGGUUAGGGUUAGGGUUAGGGUUGGAGUUAGGGUUAGUGUUGGAGCUAGGGUUAGGGUUGGGCUUGGAGCUAGGAUUUUUCUGAGUGCACUGAACCAACUCCCGAGUCUCUAGGACAUUCCUAAAAAAAUUUGAUUUUUUCCCAUAGGAAUGCAUGGGUUAGGGUUAGGGUUAGGGUUGGAGCUAGGGUUAGGGUUAGGGUUAGGGUUGGAGUUAGGGUUAGUGUUGGAGCUAGGGUUAGGGUUGGGCUUGGAGCUAGGAUUUUUCUGAGUGCACUGAACCAACUCCCGAGUCUCUAGGACAUUCCUAAAAAAAUUUGAUUUUUUCCCAUAGGAAUGCAUGGGUUAGGGUUAUGGUUAGGGUUAGGGUUGGAGCUAGGGUUAGGGUUAGGGUUAGGGUUGGAGUUAGGGUUAGGGUUAGUGUUGGAGCUAGGGUUAGGGUUGGGCUUGGAGCUAGGAUUUUUCUGAGUGCAAUGAACCAACUCCCGAGUCUCUAGGACGUUCCCUAAAAAAAUUUGAUUUUUUCCCAUAGGAAUGCAUGGGUUAGGGUUAGGGUUAGGGUUAGGGUUGGAGCUAGGGUUAGGGUUAGGGUUAGGGUUGGAGUUAGGGUUAGUGUUGGAGCUAGGGUUAGGGUUGGGCUUGGAGCUAGGAUUUUUCUGAGUGCAAUGAACCAACUCCCGAGUCUCUAGGACGUUCCAAAAAAAAUUUGAUUUUUUCCCAUAGGAAUGCAUGGGUUAGGGUUAUGGUUAGGGUUAGGGUUGGAGCUAGGGUUAGGGUUAGGGUUAGGGUUGGAGUUAGGGUUAGUGUUGGCGCUAGGGUUAGGGUUGGGCUUGGAGCUAGGAUUUUUCUGAGUGCAAUGAACCAACUCCCGAGUCUCUAGGACGUUCCUAAAAAAAUUUGAUUUUUUCCCAUAGGAAUGCAUGGGUUAGGGUUAGGGUUAGGGUUGGAGCUAGGGUUAGGGUUAGGGUUAGGGUUGGAGUUAGGGUUAGUGUUGGAGCUAGGGUUAGGGUUGGGCUUGGAGCUAGGAUUUUUCUGAGUGCACUGAACCAACUCCCGAGUCUCUAGGACAUUCCUAAAAAAAUUUGAUUUUUUUCCCAUAGGAAUGCAUGGGUUAGGGUUAUGGUUAGGGUUAGGGUUGGAGCUAGGGUUAGGGUUAGGGUUAGGGUUGGAGUUAGGGUUAGUGUUGGAGCUAGGGUUAGGGUUGGGCUUGGAGCUAGGACUUUUCUGAGUGCAAUGAACCAACUCCCGAGUCUCUAGGACGUUCCCUAAAAAAAUUUGAUUUUUUCCCAUAGGAAUGCAUGGGUUAGGGUUAGGGUUAGGGUUGGAGCUAGGGUUAGGGUUAGGGUUAGGGUUGGAGUUAGGGUUAGUGUUGGAGCUAGGGUUAGGGUUGGGCUUGGAGCUAGGAUUUUUCUGAGUGCAAUGAACCAACUCCCGAGUCUCUAGGACGUUCCUAAAAAAAUUUGAUUUUUUCCCAUAGGAAUGCAUGGGUUAGGGUUAGGGUUAGGGUUGGAGCUAGGGUUAGGGUUAGGGUUAGGGUUGGAGUUAGGGUUAGUGUUGGAGCUAGGGUUAGGGUUGGGCUUGGAGCUAGGAUUUUUCUGAGUGCAAUGAACAAACUCCCGAGUCUCUAGGAAGUUCCUAAAAAAAUUUGAUUUUUUCCCAUAGGAAUGCAUGGGUUAGGGUUAGGGUUAGGGUUGGAGCUAGGGUUAGGGUUAGGGUUAGGGUUGGAGUUAGGGUUAGUGUUGGAGCUAGGGUUAGGGUUGGGCUUGGAGCUAGGAUUUUUCUGAGUGCAGUGAACCAACUCCCGAGUCUCUAGGACGUUCCUAAAAAAAUUUGAUUUUUUCCCAUAGGAAUGCAUGGGUCAGGGUUAGGGUUAGGGUUGGAGCUAGGGUUAGGGUUAGGGUUAGGGUUGGAGUUAGGGUUAGUGUUGGAGCUAGGGUUAGGGUUGGGCUUGGAGCUAGGAUUUUUCUGAGUGCAAUGAACCAACUCCCGAGUCUCUAGGACGUUCCUAAAAAAAUUUGAUUUUUUCCCAUAGGAAUGCAUGGGUUAGGGUUAGGGUUAGGGUUGGAGCUAGGGUUAGGGUUAGGGUUAGGGUUGGAGUUAGGGUUAGUGUUAGAGCUAGGGUAAGGUUUGGGCUUGGAGCUAGGAUUUUUCUGAGUGCAAUGAACCAACUCCCGAGUCUCUAGGACGUUCCUAAAAAAAUUUGAUUUUUUCCCAUAGGAAUGCAUGGGUUAGGGUUAGGGUUAGGGUUGGAGCUAGGGUUAGGGUUAGGGUUAGGGUUGGAGUUAGGGUUAGUGUUGGAGCUAGGGUUAGGGUUGGGCUUGGAGCUAGGAUUUUUCUGAGUGCAAUGAACCAACUCCCGAGUCUCUAGGACGUUCCUAAAAAAAUUUGAUUUUUUCCCAUAGGAAUGCAUGGGUUAGGGUUAGGGUUGGAGCUAGUGUUAGGGUUAGGGUUGGAGCUAGGGUUAGGGUUAGGGUUAGGGUUGGAGUUAGGGUUAGUGUUGGAGCUAGGGUUAGGUUUGGGCUUGGAGCUAGGAUUUUUCUGAGUGCAAUGAACCAACUCCCGAGUCUCUAGGACGUUCCUAUAAAAAUUUGAUUUUUUCCCAUAGGAAUGCAUGGGUUAGGGUUAGGGUUAGGGUUGGAGCUAGGGUUAGGGUUAGGGUUAGGGUUGGAGUUAGGGUUAGUGUUGGAGCUAGGGUUAGGGUUGGGCUUGGAGCUAGGAUUUUUCUGAGUGCAAUGAACCAACUCCCGAGUCUCUAGGACGUUCCUAAAAAAAUUUGAUUUUUUCCCAUAGGAAUGCAUGGGUUAGGGUUAUGGUUAGGGUUAGGGUUGGAGCUAGGGUUAGGGUUAGGGUUAGGGUUGGAGUUAGGGUUAGUGUUGGAGCUAGGGUUAGGGUUGGGCUUGGAGCUAGGACUUUUCUGAGUGCAAUGAACCAACUCCCGAGUCUCUAGGACGUUCCCUAAAAAAAUUUGAUUUUUUCCCAUAGGAAUGCAUGGGUUAGGGUUAGGGUUAGGGUUGGAGCUAGGGUUAGGGUUAGGGUUAGGGUUGGAGUUAGGGUUAGUGUUGGAGCUAGGGUUAGGGUUGGGCUUGGAGCUAGGAUUUUUCUGAGUGCAAUGAACCAACUCCCGAGUCUCUAGGACGUUCCUAAAAAAAUUUGAUUUUUUCCCAUAGGAAUGCAUGGGUUAGGGUUAGGGUUAGGGUUGGAGCUAGGGUUAGGGUUAGGGUUAGGGUUGGAGUUAGGGUUAGUGUUGGAGCUAGGGUUAGGGUUGGGCUUGGAGCUAGGAUUUUUCUGAGUGCAAUGAACCAACUCCCGAGUCUCUAGGAAGUUCCUAAAAAAAUUUGAUUUUUUCCCAUAGGAAUGCAUGGGUUAGGGUUAGGGUUAGGGUUGGAGCUAGGGUUAGGGUUAGGGUUAGGGUUGGAGUUAGGGUUAGUGUUGGAGCGAGGGUUAGGGUUGGGCUUGGAGCUAGGAUUUUUCUGAGUGCAGUGAACCAACUCCCGAGUCUCUAGGACGUUCCUAAAAAAAUUUGAUUUUUUCCCAUAGGAAUGCAUGGGUCAGGGUUAGGGUUAGGGUUGGAGCUAGGGUUAGGGUUAGGGUUAGGGUUGGAGUUAGGGUUAGUGUUGGAGCUAGGGUUAGGGUUGGGCUUGGAGCUAGGAUUUUUCUGAGUGCAAUGAACCAACUCCCGAGUCUCUAGGACGUUCCUAAAAAAAUUUGAUUUUUUCCCAUAGGAAUGCAUGGGUUAGGGUUAGGGUUAGGGUUGGAGCUAGGGUUAGGGUUAGGGUUAGGGUUGGAGUUAGGGUUAGUGUUAGAGCUAGGGUAAGGUUUGGGCUUGGAGCUAGGAUUUUUCUGAGUGCAAUGAACCAACUCCCGAGUCUCUAGGACGUUCCUAAAAAAAUUUGAUUUUUUCCCAUAGGAAUGCAUGGGUUAGGGUUAGGGUUAGGGUUGGAGCUAGGGUUAGGGUUAGGGUUAGGGUUGCAGUUAGGGUUAGUGUUGGAGCUAGGGUAAGGGUUGGGCUUGGAGCUAGGAUUUUUCUGAGUGCAAUGAACCAACUCCCGAGUCUCUAGGACGUUCCUAAAAAAAUUUGAUUUUUUUCCAUAGGAAUGCAUGGGUUAGGGUUAGGGUUGGAGCUAGUGUUAGGGUUAGGGUUGGAGCUAGGGUUAGGGUUAGGGUUAGGGUUGGAGUUAGGGUAAGUGUUGGAGCUAGGGUUAGGUUUGGGCUUGGAGCUAGGAUUUUUCUGAGUGCAAUGAACCAACUCCCGAGUCUCUAGGACGUUCCUAUAAAAAUUUGAUUUUUUCCCAUAGGAAUGCAUGGGUUAGGGUUAGGGUUAGGGUUGGAGCUAGGGUUAGGGUUAGGGUUAGGGUUGGAGUUAGGGUUAGUGUUGGAGCUAGGGUUAGGGUUGGGCUUGGAGCUAGGAUUUUUCUGAGUGCAAUGAACCAACUCCCGAGUCUCUAGGACGUUCCUAAAAAAAUUUGAUUUUUUCCCAUAGGAAUGCAUGGGUUAGGGUUAGGGUUAGGGUUGGAGCUAGGGUUAGGGUUAGGGUUAGGGUUGGAGUUAAGGUUAGUGUUGGAGCUAGGGUUAGGGUUGGGCUUGGAGCUAGGAUUUUUCUGAGUGCAGUGAACCAACUCCCGAGUCUCUAGGACGUUCCUAAAAAAAUUUGAUUUUUUCCCAUAGGAAUGCAUGGGUUAGGGUUAUGGUUAGGGUUAGGGUUGGAGCUAGGGUUAGGGUUAGGGUUAGGGUUGGAGUUAGGGUUAGUGUUGGAGCUAGGGUUAGGGUUGGGCUUGGAGCUAGGAUUUUUCUGAGUGCAAUGAACCAACUCCCGAGUCUCUAGGACGUUCCUAAAAAAAUUUGAUUUUUUCCCAUAGGAAUGCAUGGGUUAGGGUUAUGGUUAGGGUUAGGGUUGGAGCUAGGGUUAGGGUUAGGGUUAGGGUUGGAGUUAGGGUUAAUGUUGGAGCUAGGGUUAGGGUUGGGCUUGGAGAUAGGAUUUUUCUGAGUGCAAUGAACCAACUCCCGAGUCUCUAGGACGUUCCUAAAAAAAAUUGAUUUUUUCCCAUAGGAAUGCAUGGGUUAGGGUUAGGGUUAGGGUUGGAGCUAGGGUUAGGGUUAGGGUUGGAGUUAGGGUUAGUGUUGGAGCUAGGGUUAGGGUUGGGCUUGGAGCUAGGAUUUUUCUGAGUGCACUGAACCAACUCCCGAGUCUCUAGGACAUUCCUAAAAAAAUUUGAUUUUUUUCCCAUAGGAAUGCAUGGGUUAGGGUUAUGGUUAGGGUUAGGGUUGGAGCUAGGGUUAGGGUUAGGGUUAGGGUUGGAGUUAGGGUUAGUGUUGGAGCUAGGGUUAGGGUUGGGCUUGGAGCUAGGAUUUUUCUGAGUGCAAUGAACCAACUCCCGAGUCUCUUGGACGUUCCUAAAAAAAUUUGAUUUUUUCCCAUAGGAAUGCAUGGGUUAGGGUUAGGGUUAGGGUUGGAGCUAGGGUUAGGGUUAGGGUUGGAGUUAGGGUUAGUGUUGGAGCUAGGGUUAGGGUUGGGCUUGGAGCUAGGAUUUUUCUGAGUGCAAUGAACCAACUCCCGAGUCUCUAGGACGUUCCUAAAAAAAUUUGAGUUUUUCCCAUAGGAAUGCAUGGGUUAGGGUUAUGGUUAGGGUUGGAGCUAGGGUUAGGGUUAGGGUUAGGGUUGGAGUUAGGGUUAGUGUUGGAGCUAGGGUUAGGGUUGGGCUUGGAGCUAGGAUUUUUCUGAGUGCAAUGAACCAACUCCCGAGUCUCUAGGACGUUCCUAAAAAAAUUUGAUUUUUUCCCAUAGGAAUGCAUGGGUUAGGGUUAGGGUUAGGGUUGGAGCUAGGGUUAGGGUUAGGGUUAGGGUUGGAGUUAGGGUUAGUGUUGGAGCUAGGGUAAGGUUUGGGCUUGGAGCUAGGAUUUUUCUGAGUGCAAUGAACCAACUCCCGAGUCUCUAGGACGUUCCUAAAAAAAUUUGAUUUUUUUCCCAUAGGAAUGCAUGGGUUAGGGUUAGGGUUAGGGUUGGAGCUAGGGUUAGGGUUAGGGUUAGGGUUGGAGUUAGGGUUAGUGUUGGAGCUAGGGUUAGGGUUGGGCUUGGAGCUAGGAUUUUUCUGGGUGCAAUGAACCAACUCCCGACUCUCUAGGACGUUCCUAAAAAAAUUUGAUUUUUUCCCAUAGGAAUGCAUGGGUUAGGGUUAUGGUUAGGGUUAGGGUUGGAGCUAGGGUUAGGGUUAGGGUUAGGGUUGGAGUUAGGGUUAGUGUUGGAGCUAGGGUUAGGGUUGGGCUUGGAGCUAGGAUUUUUCUGAGUGCAAUGAACCAACUCCCGAGUCUCGAGGACGUUCCAAAAAAAAUUUGAUUUUUUCCCAUAGGAAUGCAUGGGUUAGGGUUAUGGUUAGGGUUGGAGCUAGGGUUAGGGUUAGGGUUAGGGUUGGAGUUAAGGUUAGUGUUGGAGCUAGGGUUAGGGUUGGGCUUGGAGCUAGGAUUUUUCUGAGUGCAGUGAACCAACUCCCGAGUCUCUAGGACGUUCCUAAAAAAAUUUGAUUUUUUCCCAUAGGAAUGCAUGGGUUAGGGUUAUGGUUAGGGUUAGGGUUGGAGCUAGGGUUAGGGUUAGGGUUAGGGUUGGAGUUAGGGUUAGUGUUGGAGCUAGGGUUAGGGUUGGGCUUGGUACUAGGAUUUUUCUGAGUGCAAUGAACCAACCCCCGAGUCUCUAGGACGUUCCUAAAAAAAUUAGAUUUUUUCCCAUAGGAAUGCAUGGGUUAGGGUUAUGGUUAGGGUUAGGGUUGGAGCUAGGGUUAGGGUUAGGGUUAGGGUUGGAGCUAGGGUUAGGGUUAGGGUUAGGGUUGGAGUUAGGGUUAGUGUUGGAGCUAGGGUUAGGGUUGGGCUUGGAGCUAGGAUUUUUCUGAGUGCAAUGAACCAACUCCCGAGUCUCUAGGACGUUCCUAAAAAAAUGUGAGUUUUUCCCAUAGGAAUGCAUGGGUUAGGGUUAGGGUUAGGGUUGGAGCUAGGGUUAGGGUUAGGGUUAGGGUUGGAGUUAGGGUUAGUGUUGGAGCUAGGGUUAGGGUUGGGCUUGGAGCUAGGAUUUUUCUGAGUGCAAUGAACCAACUCCCGAGUCUCUAGGACGUUCCUAAAAAAAUUUGAUUUUUUCCCAUAGGAAUGCAUGGGUUAGGGUUAGGGUUAGGGUUAGGGUUGGAGCUAGGGUUAGGGUUAGGGUUAGGGUUGGAGUUAGGGUUAGUGUUGGAGCUAGGGUUAGGGUUGGGCUUGGAGCUAGGAUUUUUCUGAGUGCAAUGAACCAACUCCCGAGUCUCUAGGACGUUCCAAAAAAAAUUUGAUUUUUUCCCAUAGGAAUGCAUGGGUUAGGGUUAGGGUUAGGGUUGGAGCUAGGGUUAGGGUUAGGGUUAGGGUUGGAGUUAUGGUUAGUGUUGGAGCUAGGGUUAGGGUUUGGCUUGGAGCUAGGAUUUUUCUGAGUGCAGUGAACCAACUCCCGAGUCUCUAGGACGUUCCUAAAAAAAUUUGAUUUUUUCCCAUAGGAAUGCAUGGGUUAGGGUUAUGGUUAGGGUUAGGGUUGGAGCUAGGGUUAGGGUUAGGGUUAGGGUUGGAGUUAGGGUUAGUGUUGGAGCUAGGGUUAGGGUUGGGCUUGGAGCUAGGAUUUUUCUGAGUGCAAUGAACCAACUCCCGAGUCUCUAGGACGUUCCUAAAAAAAUUUGAUUUUUUCCCAUAGGAAUGCAUGGGUUAGGGUUAUGGUUAUGGUUAGGGUUGGAGCUAGGGUUAGGGUUAGGGUUAGGGUUGGAGUUAGGGUUAGUGUUGGAGCUAGGGUUAGGGUUGGGCUUGGAGCUAGGAUUUUUCUGAGUGCAAUGAACCAACUCCCGAGUCUCUAGGACGUUCCUAAAAAAAUUUGAUUUUUUCCCAUAGGAAUGCAUGGGUCAGGGUUAGGGUUAGGGUUGGAGCUAGGGUUAGGGUUAGGGUUAGGGUUGGAGUUAGGGUUAGUGUUGGAGCUAGGGUUAGGGUUGGGCUUGGAGCUAGGAUUUUUCUGAGUGCACUGAACCAACUCCCGAGUCUCUAGGACAUUCCUAAAAAAUUUGAUUUUUUCCCAUAGGAAUGCAUGGGUUAGGGUUAGGGUUAGGGUUGGAGCUAGGGUUAGGGUUAGGGUUAGGGUUGGAGUUAGGGUUAGUGUUGGAGCUAGGGUUAGGGUUGGGCUUGGAGCUAGGAUUUUUCUGAGUGCAAUGAACCAACUCCCGAGUCUCUAGGACGUUCCUAAAAAAAUUUGAUUUUUUCCCAUAGGAAUGCAUGGGUUAGGGUUAGGGUUAGGGUUGGAGCUAGGGUUAGGGUUAGGGUUAGGGUUAGGGUUGGAGUUAGGGUUAGUGUUGGAGCUAGGGUUAGGGUUGGGCUUGGAGCUAGGAUUUUUCUGAGUGCACUGAACCAACUCCCGAGUCUCUAGGACAUUCCUAAAAAAAUUUGAUUUUUUCCCAUAGGAAUGCAUGGGUUAGGGUUAGGGUUAGGGUUGGAGCUAGGGUUAGGGUUAGGGUUAGGGUUGGAGUUAGGGUUAGUGUUGGAGCUAGGUUUAGGGUUGGGCUUGGAGCUAGGAUUUUUCUGAGUGCACUGAACCAACUCCCGAGUCUCUAGGACAUUCCUAAAAAAAUUUGAUUUUUUCCCAUAGGAAUGCAUGGGUUAGGGUUAGGGUUAGGGUUGGAGCUAGGGUUAGGGUUAGGGUUAGGGUUGGAGUUAGGGUUAGUGUUGGAGCUAGGGUUAGGGUUGGGCUUGGAGCUAGGAUUUUUCUGAGUGCAAUGAACCAACUCCCGAGUCUCUAGGACGUUCCUAAAAAAAUUUGAUUUUUUCCCAUAGGAAUGCAUGGGUUAUGGUUAGGGUUAGGGUUGGAGCUAGGGUUAGGGUUAGGGUUAGGGUUAGGGUUGGAGUUAGGGUUAGUGUUGGGGCUAGGGUUAGGGUUGGGCUUGGAGCUAGGAUUUUUCUGAGUGCAAUGAACCAACUCCCGAGUCUCUAGGACGUUCCUAAAAAAAUUUGAUUUUUUCCCAUAGGAAUGCAUGGGUUAGGGUUAGGGUUAGGGUUGGAGCUAGGGUUAGGGUUAGGGUUAGGGUUGGAGAUAGGGUUAGUGUUGGAGCUAGGGUUAGGGUUGGGCUUGGAGCUAGGAUUUUUCUGAGUGCAAUGAACCAACUCCCGAGUCUCUAGGACGUUCCUAAAAAAAUUUGUUUUUUUCCCAUAGGAAUGCAUGGGUCAGGGUUAGGGUUAGGGUUGGAGCUAGGGUUAGGGUUAGGGUUAGGGUUGGAGUUAGGGUUAGUGUUGGAGCUAGGGUUAGGGUUGGGCUUGGAGCUAGGAUUUUUCUGAGUGCACUGAACCAACUCCCGAGUCUCUAGGACAUUCCUAAAAAAAUUUGAUUUUUUCCCAUAGGAAUGCAUGGGUUAGGGUUAGGGUUAGGGUUGGAGCUAGGGUUAGGGUUAGGGUUAGGGUUGGAGUUAGGGUUAGUGUUGGAGCUAGGGUUAGGGUUGGGCUUGGAGCUAGGAUUUUUCUGAGUGCACUGAACCAACUCCCGAGUCUCUAGGACAUUCCUAAAAAAAUUUGAUUUUUUCCCAUAGGAAUGCAUGGGUUAGGGUUAUGGUUAGGGUUAGGGUUGGAGCUAGGGUUAGGGUUAGGGUUAGGGUUGGAGUUAGGGUUGGUGUUGGAGCUAGGGUUAGGGUUGGGCUUUGAGCUAGGACUUUUCUGAGUGCAAUGAACCAACUCCCGAGUCUCUAGGACGUUCCCUAAAAAAAUUUGAUUUUUUCCCAUAGGAAUGCAUGGGUUAGGGUUAGGGUUAGGGUUAGGGUUGGAGCUAGGGUUAGGGUUAGGGUUAGGGUUGGAGUUAGGGUUAGUGUUGGAGCUAGGGUUAGGGUUGGGCUUGGAGCUAGGAUUUUUCUGAGUGCAAUGAACCAACUCCCGAGUCUCUAGGACGUUCCAAAAAAAAUUUGAUUUUUUCCCAUAGGAAUGCAUGGGUUAGGGUUAUGGUUAGGGUUAGGGUUGGAGCUAGGGUUAGGGUUAGGGUUAGGGUUGGAGUUAGGGUUAGUGUUGGAGCUAGGGUUAGGGUUGGGCUUGGAGCUAGGAUUUUUCUGAGUGCAAUGAACCAACUCCCGAGUCUCUAGGACGUUCCUAAAAAAAUUUGAUUUUUUCCCAUAGGAAUGCAUGGGUUAGGGUUAGGGUUAGGGUUGGAGCUAGGGUUAGGGUUAGGGUUAGGGUUGGAGAUAGGGUUAGUGUUGGAGCUAGGGUUAGGGUUGGGCUUGGAGCUAGGAUUUUUCUGAGUGCAAUGAACCAACUCCCGAGUCUCUAGGACGUUCCUAAAAAAAUUUGAUUUUUUCCCAUAGGAAUGCAUGGGUCAGGGUUAGGGUUAGGGUUGGAGCUAGGGUUAGGGUUAGGGUUAGGGUUGGAGUUAGGGUUAGUGUUGGAGCUAGGGUUAGGGUUGGGCUUGGAGCUAGGAUUUUUCUGAGUGCACUGAACCAACUCCCGAGUCUCUAGGACAUUCCUAAAAAAAUUUGAUUUUUUCCCAUAGGAAUGCAUGGGUUAGGGUUAGGGUUAGGGUUGGAGCUAGGGUUAGGGUUAGGGUUAGGGUUGGAGUUAGGGUUAGUGUUGGAGCUAGGGUUAGGGUUGGGCUUGGAGCUAGGAUUUUUCUGAGUGCACUGAACCAACUCCCGAGUCUCUAGGACAUUCCUAAAAAAAUUUGAUUUUUUCCCAUAGGAAUGCAUGGGUUAGGGUUAUGGUUAGGGUUAGGGUUGGAGCUAGGGUUAGGGUUAGGGUUAGGGUUGGAGUUAGGGUUGGUGUUGGAGCUAGGGUUAGGGUUGGGCUUUGGAGCUAGGACUUUUCUGAGUGCAAUGAACCAACUCCCGAGUCUCUAGGACGUUCCCUAAAAAAAUUUGAUUUUUUCCCAUAGGAAUGCAUGGGUUAGGGUUAGGGUUAGGGUUAGGGUUGGAGCUAGGGUUAGGGUUAGGGUUAGGGUUGGAGUUAGGGUUAGGGUUAGGGUUAGGGUUGGAGUUAGGGUUAGUGUUGGAGCUAGGGUUAGGGUUGGGCUUGGAGCUAGGAUUUUUCUGAGUGCAAUGAACCAACUCCCGAGUCUCUAGGACAUUCCUAAAAAAAAUUGAUUUUUUCCCAUAGGAAUGCAUGGGUUAGGGUUAUGGUUAGGGUUAGGGUUGGAGCAAGGGUUAGGGUUAGGGUUAGGGUUGGAGUUAGGGUUAGUGUUGGAGCUAGGGUUAGGGUUGGGCUUGGAGCUAGGACUUUUCUGAGUGCAAUGAACCAACUCCCGAGUCUCUAGGACGUUCCCUAAAAAAAUUUGAUUUUUUCCCAUAGGAAUGCAUGGGUUAGGGUUAGGGUUAGGGUUGGAGCUAGGGUUAGGGUUAGGGUUAGGGUUGGAGUUAGGGUUAGUGUUGGAGCUAGGGUUAGGGUUGGGCUUGGAGCUAGGAUUUUUCUGAGUGCAAUGAACCAACUCCCGAGUCUCUAGGACGUUCCUAAAAAAUUUUGAUUUUUUCCCAUAGGAAUGCAUGGGUUAGGGUUAGGGUUAGGGUUAGGGUUGGAGCUAGGGUUAGGGUUAGGGUUAGGGUUGGAGUUAGGGUUAGUGUUGGAGCUAGGGUUAGGGUUGGGCUUGGAGCUAGGAUUUUUCUGAGUGCAAUGAACCAACUCCCGAGUCUCUAGGACGUUCCAAAAAAAAUUUGAUUUUUUCCCAUAGGAAUGCAUGGGUUAGGGUUAGGGUUAGGGUUGGAGCUAGGGUUAGGGUUAGGGUUAGGGUUGGAGUUAAGGUUAGUGUUGGAGCUAGGGUUAGGGUUUGGCUUGGAGCUAGGAUUUUUCUGAGUGCAGUGAACCAACUCCCGAGUCUCUAGGACGUUCCUAAAAAAAUUUGAUUUUUUCCCAUAGGAAUGCAUGGGUUAGGGUUAUGGUUAGGGUUAGGGUUGGAGCUAGGGUUAGGGUUAGGGUUAGGGUUGGAGUUAGGGUUAGUGUUGGAGCUAGGGUUAGGGUUGGGCUUGGAGCUAGGAUUUUUCUGAGUGCAAUGAACCAACUCCCGAGUCUCUAGGACGUUCCUAAAAAAAUUUGAUUUUUUCCCAUAGGAAUGCAUGGGUUAGGGUUAUGGUUAGGGUUAGGGUUGGAGCUAGGGUUAGGGUUAGGGUUAGGGUUAGGGUUGGAGUUAGGGUUAGUGUUGGAGCUAGGGUUAGGGUUGGGCUUGGAGCUAGGAUUUUUCUGAGUGCAAUGAACCAACUCCCGAGUCUCUAGGACGUUCCUAAAAAAAUUUGAUUUUUUCCCAUAGGAAUGCAUGGGUCAGGGUUAGGGUUAGGGUUGGAGCUAGGGUUAGGGUUAGGGUUAGGGUUGGAGUUAGGGUUAGUGUUGGAGCUAGGGUUAGGGUUGGGCUUGGAGCUAGGAUUUUUCUGAGUGCACUGAACCAACUCCCGAGUCUCUAGGACAUUCCUAAAAAAAUUUGAUUUUUUCCCAUAGGAAUGCAUGGGUUAGGGUUAGGGUUAGGGUUGGAGCUAGGGUUGGGGUUAGGGUUAGGGUUGGAGUUAGGGUUAGUGUUGGAGCUAGGGUUAGGGUUGGGCUUGGAGCUAGGAUUUUUCUGAGUGCAAUGAACCAACUCCCGAGUCUCUAGGACGUUCCUAAAAAAAUUUGAUUUUUUCCCAUAGGAAUGCAUGGGUUAGGGUUAGGGUUAGGGUUGGAGCUAGGGUUAGGGUUAGGGUUAGGGUUAGGGUUGGAGUUAGGGUUAGUGUUGGAGCUAGGGUUAGGGUUGGGCUUGGAGCUAGGAUUUUUCUGAGUGCACUGAACCAACUCCCGAGUCUCUAGGACAUUCCUAAAAAAAUUUGAUUUUUUCCCAUAGGAAUGCAUGGGUUAGGGUUAGGGUUAGGGUUGGAGCUAGGGUUAGGGUUAGGGUUAGGGUUGGAGUUAGGGUUAGUGUUGGAGCUAGGUUUAGGGUUGGGCUUGGAGCUAGGAUUUUUCUGAGUGCACUGAACCAACUCCCGAGUCUCUAGGACAUUCCUAAAAAAAUUUGAUUUUUUCCCAUAGGAAUGCAUGGGUUAGGGUUAGGGUUAGGGUUGGAGCUAGGGUUAGGGUUAGGGUUAGGGUUGGAGUUAGGGUUAGUGUUGGAGCUAGGGUUAGGGUUGGGCUUGGAGCUAGGAUUUUUCUGAGUGCAAUGAACCAACUCCCGAGUCUCUAGGACGUUCCUAAAAAAAUUUGAUUUUUUCCCAUAGGAAUGCAUGGGUUAUGGUUAGGGUUAGGGUUGGAGCUAGGGUUAGGGUUAGGGUUAGGGUUAGGGUUGGAGUUAGGGUUAGUGUUGGGGCUAGGGUUAGGGUUGGGCUUGGAGCUAGGAUUUUUCUGAGUGCAAUGAACCAACUCCCGAGUCUCUAGGACGUUCCUAAAAAAAUUUGAUUUUUUCCCAUAGGAAUGCAUGGGUUAGGGUUAGGGUUAGGGUUGGAGCUAGGGUUAGGGUUAGGGUUAGGGUUGGAGAUAGGGUUAGUGUUGGAGCUAGGGUUAGGGUUGGGCUUGGAGCUAGGAUUUUUCUGAGUGCAAUGAACCAACUCCCGAGUCUCUAGGACGUUCCUAAAAAAAUUUGUUUUUUUCCCAUAGGAAUGCAUGGGUCAGGGUUAGGGUUAGGGUUGGAGCUAGGGUUAGGGUUAGGGUUAGGGUUGGAGUUAGGGUUAGUGUUGGAGCUAGGGUUAGGGUUGGGCUUGGAGCUAGGAUUUUUCUGAGUGCACUGAACCAACUCCCGAGUCUCUAGGACAUUCCUAAAAAAAUUUGAUUUUUUCCCAUAGGAAUGCAUGGGUUAGGGUUAGGGUUAGGGUUGGAGCUAGGGUUAGGGUUAGGGUUAGGGUUGGAGUUAGGGUUAGUGUUGGAGCUAGGGUUAGGGUUGGGCUUGGAGCUAGGAUUUUUCUGAGUGCACUGAACCAACUCCCGAGUCUCUAGGACAUUCCUAAAAAAAUUUGAUUUUUUCCCAUAGGAAUGCAUGGGUUAGGGUUAUGGUUAGGGUUAGGGUUGGAGCUAGGGUUAGGGUUAGGGUUAGGGUUGGAGUUAGGGUUGGUGUUGGAGCUAGGGUUAGGGUUGGGCUUUGAGCUAGGACUUUUCUGAGUGCAAUGAACCAACUCCCGAGUCUCUAGGACGUUCCCUAAAAAAAUUUGAUUUUUUCCCAUAGGAAUGCAUGGGUUAGGGUUAGGGUUAGGGUUAGGGUUGGAGCUAGGGUUAGGGUUAGGGUUAGGGUUGGAGUUAGGGUUAGUGUUGGAGCUAGGGUUAGGGUUGGGCUUGGAGCUAGGAUUUUUCUGAGUGCAAUGAACCAACUCCCGAGUCUCUAGGACGUUCCAAAAAAAAUUUGAUUUUUUCCCAUAGGAAUGCAUGGGUUAGGGUUAUGGUUAGGGUUAGGGUUGGAGCUAGGGUUAGGGUUAGGGUUAGGGUUGGAGUUAGGGUUAGUGUUGGCGCUAGGGUUAGGGUUGGGCUUGGAGCUAGGAUUUUUCUGAGUGCAAUGAACCAACUCCCGAGUCUCUAGGACGUUCCUAAAAAAAUUUGAUUUUUUCCCAUAGGAAUGCAUGGGUUAGGGUUAGGGUUAGGGUUGGAGCUAGGGUUAGGGUUAGGGUUAGGGUUGGAGAUAGGGUUAGUGUUGGAGCUAGGGUUAGGGUUGGGCUUGGAGCUAGGAUUUUUCUGAGUGCAAUGAACCAACUCCCGAGUCUCUAGGACGUUCCUAAAAAAAUUUGAUUUUUUCCCAUAGGAAUGCAUGGGUCAGGGUUAGGGUUAGGGUUGGAGCUAGGGUUAGGGUUAGGGUUAGGGUUGGAGUUAGGGUUAGUGUUGGAGCUAGGGUUAGGGUUGGGCUUGGAGCUAGGAUUUUUCUGAGUGCACUGAACCAACUCCCGAGUCUCUAGGACAUUCCUAAAAAAAUUUGAUUUUUUCCCAUAGGAAUGCAUGGGUUAGGGUUAGGGUUAGGGUUGGAGCUAGGGUUAGGGUUAGGGUUAGGGUUGGAGUUAGGGUUAGUGUUGGAGCUAGGGUUAGGGUUGGGCUUGGAGCUAGGAUUUUUCUGAGUGCACUGAACCAACUCCCGAGUCUCUAGGACAUUCCUAAAAAAAUUAGAUUUUUUCCCAUAGGAAUGCAUGGGUUAGGGUUAUGGUUAGGGUUAGGGUUGGAGCUAGGGUUAGGGUUAGGGUUAGGGUUGGAGUUAGGGUUGGUGUUGGAGCUAGGGUUAGGGUUGGGCUUUGAGCUAGGACUUUUCUGAGUGCAAUGAACCAACUCCCGAGUCUCUAGGACGUUCCCUAAAAAAAUUUGAUUUUUUCCCAUAGGAAUGCAUGGGUUAGGGUUAGGGUUAGGGUUAGGGUUGGAGCUAGGGUUAGGGUUAGGGUUAGGGUUAGAGUUAGGGUUAGUGUUGGAGCUAGGGUUAGGGUUGGGCUUGGAGCUAGGAUUUUUCUGAGUGCACUGAACCAACUCCCGAGUCUCUAGGACAUUCCUAAAAAAAAUUGACUUUUUCCCAUAGGAAUGCAUGGGUUAGGGUUAGGGUUAGGGUUAGGGUUGGAGCUAGGGUUAGGGUUAGGGUUAGGGUUGGAGUUAGGGUUAGUGUUGGAGCUAGGGUUAGGGUUGGGCUUGGAGCUAGGACUUUUCUGAGUGCAAUGAACCAACUCCCGAGUCUCUAGGACGUUCCCUAAAAAAAUUUGAUUUUUUCCCAUAGGAAUGCAUGGGUUAGGGUUAGGUGUGGGGUUGGAGCUAGGGUUAGGGUUAGGGUUAGGGUUGGAGUUAGGGUUAGUGUUGGAGCUAGGGUUAGGUUUGGGCUUGGAGCUAGGAUUUUUCUGAGUGCAAUGAACCAACUCCCGAGUCUCUAGGACGUUCCUAAAAAAUUUUGAUUUUUUCCCAUAGGAAUGCAUGGGUUAGGGUUAGGGUUAGGGUUGGAGCUAGGGUUAGGGUUAGGGUUAGGGUUGGAGUUAGGGUUAGUGUUGGAGCUAGGGUUAGGGUUGGGCUUGGAGCUAGGAUUUUUCUGAGUGCAAUGAACCAACUCCCGAGUCUCUAGGAAGUUCCUAAAAAAAUUUGAUUUUUUCCCAUAGGAAUGCAUGGGUUAGGGUUAGGGUUAGGGUUGGAGCUAGGGUUAGGGUUAGGGUUAGGGUUGGAGUUAGGGUUAGUGUUGGAGCGAGGGUUAGGGUUGGGCUUGGAGCUAGGAUUUUUCUGAGUGCAAUGAACCAACUCCCGAGUCUCUAGGACGUUCCUAAAAAAAUUUGAUUUUUUCCCAUAGGAAUGCAUGGGUUAGGGUUAGGGUUAGGGUUGGAGCUAGGGUUAGGGUUAGGGUUAGGGUUGGAGUUAGGGUUAGUGUUGGAGCUAGGGUUAGGGUUGGGCUUGGAGCUAGGAUUUUUCUGAGUGCAAUGAACCAACUCCCGAGUCUCUAGGACGUUCCUAAAAAAAUUUGAUUUUUUCCCAUAGGAAUGCAUGGGUUAGGGUUAGGGUUAGGGUUGGAGCUAGGGUUAGGGUUAGGGUUAGGGUUGGAGUUAGGGUUAGUGUUAGAGCUAGGGUAAGGUUUGGGCUUGGAGCUAGGAUUUUUCUGAGUGCAAUGAACCAACUCCCGAGUCUCUAGGACGUUCCUAAAAAAAUUUGAUUUUUUUCCAUAGGAAUGCAUGGGUUAGGGUUAUGGUUAGGGUUAGGGUUGGAGCUAGGGUUAGGGUUAGGGUUAGGGUUGGAGUUAGGGUUAGUGUUGGAGCUAGGGUUAGGGUUGGGCUUGGAGCUAGGAUUUAUCUGAGUGCAAUGAACCAACUCCCGAGUCUCUAGGACGUUCCUAAAAAAAUUUGAUUUUUUCCCAUAGGAAUGCAUGGGUUAGGGUUAGGGUUAGGGUUGGAGCUAGGGUUAGGGUUAGGGUUAGGGUUGCAGUUAGGGUUAGUGUUGGAGCUAGGGUAAGGUUUGGGCUUGGAGCUAGGAUUUUUCUGAGUGCAAUGAACCAACUCCCGAGUCUCUAGGACGUUCCUAAAAAAAUUUGAUUUUUUUCCAUAGGAAUGCAUGGGUUAGGGUUAGGGUUGGAGCUAGUGUUAGGGUUAGGGUUGGAGCUAGGGUUAGGGUUAGGGUUAGGGUUGGAGUUAGGGUUAGUGUUGGAGCUAGGGUUAGGGUUGGGCUUGGAGCUAGGAUUUUUCUGAGUGCAAUGAACCAACUCCCGAGGCUCUUGGACGUUCCUAAAAAAAUUAGAUUUUUUCCCAUAGGAAUGCAUGGGUUAGGGUUAGGGUUAGGGUUGGAGCUAGGGUUAGGGUUAGGGUUAGGGUUGGAGUUAGGGUUAGUGUUGGAGCUAGGGUUAGGGUUGGGCUUGGAGCUAGGAUUUUUCUGAGUGCAAUGAACCAACUCCCGAGUCUCUAGGACGUUCCUAAAAAAAUUUGAUUUUUUCCCAUAGGAAUGCAUGGGUUAGGGUUAGGGUUAGGGUUGGAGCUAGGGUUAGGGUUAGGGUUAGGGUUGGAGUUAAGGUUAGUGUUGGAGCUAGGGUUAGGGUUGGGCUUGGAGCUAGGAUUUUUCUGAGUGCAGUGAACCAACUCCCGAGUCUCUAGGACGUUCCUAAAAAAAUUUGAUUUUUUCCCAUAGGAAUGCAUGGGUUAGGGUUAUGGUUAGGGUUAGGGUUGGAGCUAGGGUUAGGGUUAGGGUUAGGGUUGGAGUUAGGGUUAGUGUUGGAGCUAGGGUUAGGGUUGGGCUUGGAGCUAGGAUUUUUCUGAGUGCAAUGAACCAACUCCCGAGUCUCUAGGACGUUCCUAAAAAAAUUUGAUUUUUUCCCAUAGGAAUGCAUGGGUUAGGGUUAGGGUUAGGGUUGGAGCUAGGGUUAGGGUUAGGGUUGGAGUUAGGGUUAGUGUUGGAGCUAGGGUUAGGGUUGGGCUUGGAGCUAGGAUUUUUCUGAGUGCACUGAACCAACUCCCGAGUCUCUAGGACAUUCCUAAAAAAAUUUGAUUUUUUCCCAUAGGAAUGCAUGGGUUAGGGUUAUGGUUAGGGUUAGGGUUGGAGCUAGGGUUAGGGUUAGGGUUAGGGUUGGAGUUAGGGUUAGUGUUGGAGCUAGGGUUAGGGUUGGGCUUGGAGCUAGGAUUUUUCUGAGUGCAAUGAACCAACUCCCGAGUCUCUAGGACGUUCCUAAAAAAAUUUGAUUUUUUCCCAUAGGAAUGCAUGGGUUAGGGUUAGGGUUAGGGUUGGAGCUAGGGUUAGGGUUAGGGUUAGGGUUGGAGUUAGGGUUAGUGUUAGAGCUAGGGUAAGGUUUGGGCUUGGAGCUAGGAUUUUUCUGAGUGCAAUGAACCAACUCCCGAGUCUCUAGGACGUUCCUAAAAAAAUUUGAUUUUUUCCCAUAGGAAUGCAUGGGUUAGGGUUAGGGUUAGGGUUGGAGCUAGGGUUAGGGUUAGGGUUAGGGUUGCAGUUAGGGUUAGUGUUGGAGCUAGGGUAAGGUUUGGGCUUGGAGCUAGGAUUUUUCUGAGUGCAAUGAACCAACUCCCGAGUCUCUAGGACGUUCCUAAAAAAAUUUGAUUUUUUUCCCAUAGGAAUGCAUGGGUUAGGGUUAUGGUUAGGGUUAGGGUUGGAGCUAGGGUUAGGGUUAGGGUUAGGGUUGGAGUUAGGGUUAGUGUUGGAGCUAGGGUUAGGGUUGGGCUUGGAGCUAGGAUUUAUCUGAGUGCAAUGAACCAACCCCCGAGUCUCUAGGACGUUCCUAAAAAAAUUUGAUUUUUUCCCAUAGGAAUGCAUGGGUUAGGGUUAUGGUUAGCGUUAGGGUUGGAGCUAGGGUUAGGGUUAGGGUUAGGGUUGGAGUUAGGGUUAGUGUUGGAGCUAGGGUUAGGGUUGGGCUUGGAGCUAGGAUUUUUCUGAGUGCACUGAACCAACUCCCGAGUCUCUAGGACGUUCCUAAAAAAAUUUGAUUUUUUCCCAUAGGAAUGCAUGGGUCAGGGUUAGGGUUAGGGUUGGAGCUAGGGUUAGGGUUAGGGUUAGGGUUGGAGUUAGGGUUAGUGUUGGAGCUAGGGUUAGGGUUGGGCUUGGAGCUAGGAUUUUUCUGAGUGCAAUGAACCAACUCCCGAGUCUCUAGGACGUUCCUAAAAAAAUUUGAUUUUUUCCCAUAGGAAUGCAUGGGUUAGGGUUAGGGUUAGGGUUAGGGUUGGAGCUAGGGUUAGGGUUAGGGUUAGGGUUGGAGUUAGGGUUAGUGUUGGAGCUAGGGUUAGGGUUGGGCUUGGAGCUAGGAUUUUUCUGAGUGCAAUGAACCAACUCCCGAGUCUCUAGGACGUUCCUAAAAAAAUUUGAUUUUUUCCCAUAGGAAUGCAUGGGUUAGGGUUAGGGUUAGGGUUGGAGCUAGGGUUAGGGUUAGGGUUAGGGUUGGAGUUAGGGUUAGUGUUGGAGCUAGGGUUAGGGUUGGGCUUGGAGCUAGGAUUUUUCUGAGUGCAAUGAACCAACUCCCGAGUCUCUAGGACGUUCCUAAAAAAAUUUGAUUUUUUCCCAUAGGAAUGCAUGGGUUAGGGUUAGGGUUAGGGUUGGAGCUAGGGUUAGGGUUAGGGUUAGGGUUGGAGUUAGGGUUAGUGUUGGAGCUAGGGUUAGGGUUGGGCUUGGAACUAGGACUUUUCUGAGUGCAAUGAACCAACUCCCGAGUCUCUAGGACGUUCCCUAAAAAAAUUUGAUUUUUUCCCAUAGGAAUGCAUGGGUUAGGGUUAGGGUUAGGGUUGGAGCUAGGGUUAGGGUUAGGGUUAGGGUUAGAGUUAGGGUUAGUGUUGGAGCUAGGGUUAGGGUUGGGCUUGGAGCUAGGAUUUUUCUGAGUGCACUGAACCAACUCCCGAGUCUCUAGGACGUUCCUAAAAAAAUUUGAUUUUUUCCCAUAGGAAUGCAUGGGUUAGGGUUAGGGUUAGGGUUGGAGCUAGGGUAAGGGUUAGGGUUAGGGUUGGAGUUAGGGUUAGUGUUGGAGCUAGGGUUAGGGUUGGGCUUGGAGCUAGGACUUUUCUGAGUGCAAUGAACCAACUCCCGAGUCUCUAGGACGUUCCCUAAUAAAAUUUGAUUUUUUCCCAUAGGAAUGCAUGGGUUAGGGUUAGGGUUAGGGUUGGAGCUAGGGUUAGGGUUAGGGUUAGGGUUGGAGUUAGGGUUAGUGUUGGAGCUAGGGUUAGGGUUGGGCUUGGAGCUAGGAUUUUUCUGAGUGCACUGAACCAACUCCCGAGUCUCUAGGACAUUCCUAAAAAAAUUUGAUUUUUUCCCAUAGGAAUGCAUGGGUUAGGGUUAUGGUUAGGGUUAGGGUUGGAGCUAGGGUUAGGGUUAGGGUUAGGGUUGGAGUUAGGGUUAGUGUUGGAGCUAGGGUUAGGGUUGGGCUUGGAGCUAGGAUUUUUCUGAGUGCAAUGAACCAACUCCCGAGUCUCUUGGACAUUCCUAAAAAAAUUUGAUUUUUUCCCAUAGGAAUGCAUGGGUUAGGGUUAGGGUUAGGGUUGGAGCUAGGGUUAGGGUUAGGGUUAGGGUUGGAGUUAGGGUUAGUGUUGGAGCUAGGGUUAGGGUUGGGCUUGGAGCUAGGAUUUUUCUGAGUGCAAUGAACCAACUCCCGAGUCUCUAGGACGUUCCUAAAAAAAUUUGAUUUUUUCCCAUAGGAAUGCAUGGGUUAGGGUUAGGGUUAGGGUUAGGGUUGGAGCUAGGGUUAGGGUUAGGGUUAGGGUUGGAGUUAGGGUUAGUGUUGGAGCUAGGGUUAGGGUUGGGCUUGGAGCUAGGAUUUUUCUGAGUGCAAUGAACCAACCCCGAGUCUCUAGGACGUUCCUAAAAAAAUUUGAUUUUUUCCCAUAGGAAUGCAUGGGUUAGGGUUAUGGUUAGGGUUAGGGUUGGAGCUAGGGUUAGGGUUAGGGUUAGGGUUGGAGUUAGGGUUAGUGUUGGAGCUAGGGUUAGGGUUGGGCUUGGAGCUAGGAUUUUUCUGAGUGCACUGAACCAACUCCCGAGUCUCUAGGACAUUCCUAAAAAAAAUUGAUUUUUUCCCAUAGGAAUGCAUGGGUUAGGGUUAGGGUUAGGGUUGGAGCUAGGGUUAGGGUUAGGGUUGGAGUUAGGGUUAGUGUUGGAGCUAGGGUUAGGGUUGGGCUUGGAGCUAGGACUUUUCUGAGUACAAUGAACCAACUCCCGAGUCUCUAGGACGUUCCCUAAAAAAAUUUGAUUUUUUCCCAUAGGAAUGCAUGGGUUAGGGUUAGGGUUAGGGUUGGAGCUAGGGUUAGGGUUAGGGUUAGGGUUGGAGUUAGGGUUAGUGUUGGAGCUAGGGUUAGGGUUGGGCUUGGAGCUAGGAUUUUUCUGAGUGCACUGAACCAACUCCCGAGUCUCUAGGACAUUCCUAAAAAAAUUUGAUUUUUUCCCAUAGGAAUGCAUGGGUUAGGGUUAUGGUUAGGGUUAGGGUUGGAGCUAGGGUUAGGGUUAGGGUUAGGGUUGGAGUUAGGGUUAGUGUUGGAGCUAGGGUUAGGGUUGGGCUUGGAGCUAGGAUUUUUCUGAGUGCAAUGAACCAACUCCUGAGUCUCUAGGACUUUCCUAAAAAAAUUUGAUUUUUUCCCAUAGGAAUGCAUGGGUUAGGGUUAGGGUUAGGGUUAGGGUUGGAGCUAGGGUUAGGGUUAGGGUUAGGGUUGGAGUUAGGGUUAGUGUUGGAGCUAGGGUUAGGGUUGGGCUUGGAGCUAGGAUUUUUCUGAGUGCAAUGAACCAACCCCUAGUCUCUAGGACGUUCCUAAAAAAAUUUGAUUUUUUCCCAUAGGAAUGCAUGGGUUAGGGUUAUGGUUAGGGUUAGGGUUGGAGCUAGGGUUAGGGUUAGGGUUAGGGUUGGAGUUAGGGUUAGUGUUGGAGCUAGGGUUAGGGUUGGGCUUGGAGCUAGGAUUUUUCUGAGUGCACUGAACCAACUCCCGAGUCUCUAGGACAUUCCUAAAAAAAUUGAUUUUUUCCCAUAGGAAUGCAUGGGUUAGGGUUAGGGUUGGAGCUAGGGUUAGGGUUAGGGUUGGAGUUAGGGUUAGUGUUGGAGCUAGGGUUAGGGUUGGGCUUGGAGCUAGGACUUUUCUGAGUGCAAUGAACCAACUCCCGAGUCUCUAGGACGUUCCCUAAAAAAAUUUGAUUUUUUCCCAUAGGAAUGCAUGGGUUAGGGUUAGGGUUAGGGUUGGAGCUAGGGUUAGGGUUAGGGUUAGGGUUGGAGUUAGGGUUAGUGUUGGAGCUAGGGUUAGGGUUGGGCUUGGAGCUAGGAUUUUUCUGAGUGCACUGAACCAACUCCCGAGUCUCUAGGACAUUCCUAAAAAAAUUGAUUUUUUCCCAUAGGAAUGCAUGGGUUAGGGUUAGGGUUAGGGUUGGAGCUAGGGUUAGGGUUAGGGUUAGGGUUGGAGUUAGGGUUAGUGUUGGAGCUAGGGUUAGGGUUGGGCUUGGAGCUAGGAUUUUUCUGAGUGCACUGAACCAACUCCCGAGUCUCUAGGACAUUCCUAAAAAAAAAUUUGAUUUUUUCCCAUAGGAAUGCAUGGGUUAGGGUUAUGGUUAGGGUAAGGGUUGGAGCUAGGGUUAGGGUUAGGGUUAGGGUUGGAGUUAGGGUUAGUGUUGGAGCUAGGGUUAGGGUUGGGCUUGGAGCUAGGAUUUUUCUGAGUGCAAUGAACCAACUCCCGAGUCUCUUGGACAUUCCUAAAAAAAUUUGAUUUUUUCCCAUAGGAAUGCAUGGGUUAGGGUUAGGGUUAGGGUUGGAGCUAGGGUUAGGGUUAGGGUUAGUGUUGGAGCUAGGGUUAGGGUUGGGCUUGGAGCUAGGACUUUUCUGAGUGCAAUGAACCAACUCCCGAGUCUCUAGGACGUUCCCUAAAAAAAUUUGAUUUUUUCCCAUAGGAAUGCAUGGGUUAGGGUUAGGGUUAGGGUUGGAGCUAGGGUUAGGGUUAGGGUUAGGGUUGGAGUUAGGGUUAGUGUUGGAGCUAGGGUUAGGGUUGGGCUUGGAGCUAGGAUUUUUCUGAGUGCACUGAACCAACUCCCGAGUCUCUAGGACAUUCCUAAAAAAAUUUGAUUUUUUCCCAUAGGAAUGCAUGGGUUAGGGUUAUGGUUAGGGUUAGGGUUGGAGCUAGGGUUAGGGUUAGGGUUAGGGUUGGAGUUAGGGUUAGUGUUGGAGCUAGGGUUAGGGUUGGGCUUGGAGCUAGGAUUUUUCUGAGUGCAAUGAACCAACUCCCGAGUCUCUAGGACGUUCCUAAAAAAUUUGAUUUUUUCCCAUAGGAAUGCAUGGGUUAGGGUUAGGGUUAGGGUUGGAGCUAGGGUUAGGGUUAGGGUUAGGGUUGGAGUUAGGGUUAGUGUUGGAGCUAGGGUUAGGGUUGGGCUUGGAGCUAGGAUUUUUCUGAGUGCAAUGAACCAACUCCCGAGUCUCUAGGACGUUCCUAAAAAAAUUUGAUUUUUUCCCAUAGGAAUGCAUGGGUUAGGGUUAGGGUUAGGGUUAGGGUUGGAUCUAGGGUUAGGGUUAGGGUUAGGGUUGGAGUUAGGGUUAGUGUUGGAGCUAGGGUUAGGGUUGGGCUUGGAGCUAGGAUUUUUCUGAGUGCAAUGAACCAACCCCGAGUCUCUAGGACGUUCCUAAAAAAAUUUGAUUUUUUCCCAUAGGAAUGCAUGGGUUAGGGUUAUGGUUAGGGUUAGGGUUGGAGCUAGGGUUAGGGUUAGGGUUAGGGUUGGAGUUAGGGUUAGUGUUGGAGCUAGGGUUAGGGUUGGGCUUGGAGCUAGGAUUUUUCUGAGUGCACUGAACCAACUCCCGAGUCUCUAGGACAUUCCUAAAAAAAAUUGAUUUUUUCCCAUAGGAAUGCAUGGGUUAGGGUUAGGGUUAGGGUUGGAGCUAGGGUUAGGGUUAGGGUUGGAGUUAGGGUUAGUGUUGGAGCUAGGGUUAGGGUUGGGCUUGGAGCUAGGACUUUUCUGAGUGCAAUGAACCAACUCCCGAGUCUCUAGGACGUUCCCUAAAAAAAUUUGAUUUUUUCCCAUAGGAAUGCAUGGGUUAGGGUUAGGGUUAGGGUUGGAGCUAGGGUUAGGGUUAGGGUUAGGGUUGGAGUUAGGGUUAGUGUUGGAGCUAGGGUUAGGGUUGGGCUUGGAGCUAGGAUUUUUCUGAGUGCACUGAACCAACUCCCGAGUCUCUAGGACAUUCCUAAAAAAAAUUGAUUUUUUUCCCAUAGGAAUGCAUGGGUUAGGGUUAGGGUUAGGGUUGGAGCUAGGGUUAGGGUUAGGGUUAGGGUUGGAGUUAGGGUUAGUGUUGGAGCUAGGGUUAGGGUUGGGCUUGGAGCUAGGAUUUUUCUGAGUGCACUGAACCAACUCCCGAGUCUCUAGGACAUUCCUAAAAAAAUUUGAUUUUUUCCCAUAGGAAUGCAUGGGUUAGGGCUAUGGUUAGGGUAAGGGUUGGAGCUAGGGUUAGGGUUAGGGUGAGGGUUGGAGUUAGGGUUAGUGUUGGAGCUAGGGUUAGGGUUGGGCUUGGAGCUAGGAUUUUUCUGAGUGCAAUGAACCAACUCCCGAGUCUCUUGGACAUUCCUAAAAAAAUUUGAUUUUUUCCCAUAGGAAUGCAUGGGUUAGGGUUAGGGUUAGGGUUGGAGCUAGGGUUAGGGUUAGGGUUAGGGUUGGAGUUAGGGUUAGUGUUGGAGCUAGGGUUAGGGUUGGGCUUGGAGCUAGGAUUUUUCUGAGUGCAAUGAACCAACUCCCGAGUCUCUAGGACGUUCCUAAAAAAAUUUGAUUUUUUCCCAUAGGAAUGCAUGGGUUAGGGUUAGGGUUAGGGUUAGGGUUGGAGCUAGGGUUAGGGUUAGGGUUAGGGUUGGAGUUAGGGUUAGUGUUGGAGCUAGGGUUAGGGUUGGGCUUGGAGCUAGGAUUUUUCUGAGUGCAAUGAACCAACCCCGAGUCUCUAGGACGUUCCUAAAAAAAUUUGAUUUUUUCCCAUAGGAAUGCAUGGGUUAGGGUUAUGGUUAGGGUUAGGGUUGGAGCUAGGGUUAGGGUUAGGGUUAGGGUUGGAGUUAGGGUUAGUGUUUGAGCUAGGGUUAGGGUUGGGCUUGGAGCUAGGAUUUUUCUGAGUGCAAUGAACCAACUCCCGAGUCUCUAGGACGUUCCUAAAAAAAUUUGAUUUUUUCCCAUAGGAAUGCAUGGGUUAGGGUUAGGGUUAGGGUUGGAGCUAGGGUUAGGGUUAGGGUUAGGGUUGGAGUUAGGGUUAGUGUUGGAGCUAGGGUUAGGGUUGGGCUUGGAGCUAGGAUUUUUCUGAGUGCAAUGAACCAACUCCCGAGUCUCUAGGACGUUCCUAAAACAAUUUGAUUUUUUCCCAUAGGAAUGCAUGGGUUAGGGUUAGGGUUAGGGUUGGAGCUAGGGUUAGGGUUAGGGUUAGGGUUGGAGUUAGGGUUAGUGUUGGAGCUAGGGUUAGGGUUGGGCUUGGAGCUAGGACUUUUCUGAGUGCAAUGAACCAACUCCCGAGUCUCUAGGACGUUCCCUAAAAAAAUUUGAUUUUUUCCCAUAGGAAUGCAUGGGUUAGGGUUAGGGUUAGGGUUGGAGCUAGGGUUAGGGUUAGGGUUAGGGUUAGAGUUAGGGUUAGUGUUGGAGCUAGGGUUAGGGUUGGGCUUGGAGCUAGGAUUUUUCUGAGUGCACUGAACCAACUCCCGAGUCUCUAGGACAUUCCUAAAAAAAUUGAUUUUUUUCCAUAGGAAUGCAUGGGUUAGGGUUAGGGUUAGGGUUGGAGCUAGGGUUAGUGUUAGGUUUAGGGUUGGAGUUAGGGUUAGUGUUUGAGCUAGGGUUAGGGCUGGGCUUGGAGCUAGGAUUUUUCUGAGUGCAAUGAACCAACUCCCGAGUCUCUAGGACGUUCCUAAAAAAAAUUGAUUUUUUCCCAUAGGAAUGCAUGGGUUAGGGUUAGGGUUAGGGUUGGAGCUAGGGUUAGGGUUAGGGUUAGGGUUGGAGUUAGGGUUAGUGUUGGAGCUAGGGUUAGGGUUGGGCUUGGAGCUAGGAUUUUUCUGAGUGCAAUGAACCAACUCCCGAGUCUCUAGGACGUUCCUAAAAAAAUUUGAUUUUUUCCCAUAGGAAUGCAUGGGUUAGGGUUAGGGUUAGGGUUGGAGCUAGGGUUAGGGUUAGGGUUAGGGUUGGAGUUAGGGUUAGUGUUGGAGCUAGGGUUAGGGUUGGGCUUGGAGCUAGGAUUUUUCUGAGUGCACUGAACCAACUCCCGAGUCUCUAGGACAUUCCUAAAAAAAUUUGAUUUUUUCCCAUAGGAAUGCAUGGGUUAGGGUUAGGGUUAGGGUUGGAGCUAGGGUUAGGGUUAGGGUUGGAGUUAGGGUUAGUGUUGGAGCUAGGGUUAGGGUUGGGCUUGGAGCUAGGACUUUUCUGAGUGCAAUGAACCAACUCCCGAGUCUCUAGGACGUUCCCUAAAAAAAAUUGAUUUUUUCCCAUAGGAAUGCAUGGGUUAGGGUUAGGGUUAGGGUUGGAGCUAGGGUUAGGGUUAGGGUUAGGGUUAGAGUUAGGGUUAGUGUUGGAGCUAGGGUUAGGGUUGGGCUUGGAGCUAGGAUUUUUCUGAGUGCACUGAACCAACUCCCGAGUCUCUAGGACAUUCCUAAAAAAAAUUGAUUUUUUUCCAUAGGAAUGCAUGGGUUAGGGUUAGGGUUAGGGUUGGAGCUAGGGUUAGUGUUAGGUUUAGGGUUGGAGUUAGGGUUAGUGUUGGAGUUAGGGUUAGGGUUGGGCUUGGAGCUAGGAUUUUUCUGAGUGCAAUGAACCAACUCCCGAGUCUCUAGGACGUUCCUAAAAAAAUUUGAUUUUUUCCCAUAGGAAUGCAUGGGUUAGGGUUAGGGUUAGGGUUGGAGCUAGGGUUAGGGUUAGGGUUAGGGUUGGAGUUAGGGUUAGUGUUGGAGCUAGGGUUAGGGUUGGGCUUGGAGCUAGGAUUUUUCUGAGUGCACUGAACCAACUCCCGAGUCUCUAGGACAUUCCUAAAAAAAUUUGAUUUUUUCCCAUAGGAAUGCAUGGGUUAGGGUUAUGGUUAGGGUUAGGGUUGGAGCUAGGGUUAGGGUUAGGGUUAGGGUUGGAGUUAGGGUUAGUGUUGGAGCUAGGGUUAGGGUUGGGCUUGGAGCUAGGAUUUUUCUGAGAGGCACUGAACCAACUCCCGAGUCUCUAGGACAUUCCUAAAAAAAUUUGAUUUUUCCCAUAGGAAUGCAUGGGUUAGGGUUAUGGUUAGGGUUAGGGUUGGAGCUAGGGUUAGGGUUAGGGUUAGGGUUGGAGUUAUGGUUAGUGUUGGAGCUAGGGUUAGGGUUGGGCUUGGAGCUAGGAUUUUUCUGAGUGCAAUGAACCAACUCCCGAGUCUCUAGGACGUUCCUAAAAAAAUUUGAUUUUUUCCCAUAGGAAUGCAUGGGUUAGGGUUAGGGUUAGGGUUGGAGCUAGGGUUAGGGUUAGGGUUAGGGUUAGGGUUGGAGUUAGGGUUAGUGUUGGAGCUAGGGUUAGGGUUGGGCUUGGAGCUAGGAUUUUUCUGAGUGCACUGAACCAACUCCCGAGUCUCUAGGACAUUCCUAAAAAAAUUUGAUUUUUUCCCAUAGGAAUGCAUGGGUUAGGGUUAGGGUUAGGGUUGGAGCUAGGGUUAGGGUUAGGGUUAGGGUUGGAGUUAGGGUUAGUGUUGGAGCUAGGGUUAGGGUUGGGCUUGGACUAGGAUUUUUCUGAGUGCACUGAACCAACUCCCGAGUCUCUAGGACAUUCCUAAAAAAAUUUGAUUUUUUCCCAUAGGAAUGCAUGGGUUAGGGUUAUGGUUAGGGUUAGGGUUGGAGCUAGGGUUAGGGUUAGGGUUAGGGUUGGAGUUAGGGUUAGUGUUGGAGCUAGGGUUAGGGUUGGGCUUGGAGCUAGGAUUUUUCUGAGUGCAAUGAACCAACUCCCGAGUCUCUUGGACGUUCCUAAAAAAAUUUGAUUUUUUCCCAUAGGAAUGCAUGGGUUAGGGUUAGGGUUAGGGUUGGAGCUAGGGUUAGGGUUAGGGUUAGGGUUGGAGUUAGGGUUAGUGUUGGAGCUAGGGUUAGGGUUGGGCUUGGAGCUAGGAUUUUUCUGAGUGCACUGAACCAACUCCCGAGUCUCUAGGACAUUCCUAAAAAAAUUUGAUUUUUUCCCAUAGGAAUGCAUGGGUUAGGGUUAUGUUUAGGGUUAGGGUUGGAGCUAGGGUUAGGGUUAGGGUUAGGGUUGGAGUUAGGGUUAGUGUUGGAGCUAGGGUUAGGGUUGGGCUUGGAGCUAGGAUUUUUCUGAGUGCAAUGAACCAACUCCCGAGUCUCUUGGACGUUCCUAAAAAAAUUUGAUUUUUUCCCAUAGGAAUGCAUGGGUUAGGGUUAGGGUUAGGGUUGGAGCUAGGGUUAGGGUUAGGGUUAGGGUUGGAGUUAGGGUUAGUGUUGGAGCUAGGGUUAGGGUUGGGCUUGGAGCUAGGAUUUUUCUGAGUGCAAUGAACCAACUCCCGAGUCUCUAGGACGUUCCUAAAAAAAUUUGAUUUUUUCCCAUAGGAAUGCAUGGGUUAGGGUUAGGGUUAGGGUUAGGGUUGGAGCUAGGGUUAGGGUUAGGGUUAGGGUUGGAGUUAGGGUUAGUGUUGGAGCUAGGGUUAGGGUUGGGCUUGGAGCUAGGAUUUUUCUGAGUGCAAUGAACCAACCCCGAGUCUCUAGGACGUUCCUAAAAAAUUUGAUUUUUUCCCAUAGGAAUGCAUGGGUUAGGGUUAUGGUUAGGGUUAGGGUUGGAGCUAGGGUUAGGGUUAGGGUUAGGGUUGGAGUUAGGGUUAGUGUUUGAGCUAGGGUUAGGGUUGGGCUUGGAGCUAGGAUUUUUCUGAGUGCAAUGAACCAACUCCCGAGUCUCUAGGACGUUCCUAAAAAAAUUUGAUUUUUUCCCAUAGGAAUGCAUGGGUUAGGGUUAGGGUUAGGGUUGGAGCUAGGGUUAGGGUUAGGGUUAGGGUUGGAGUUAGGGUUAGUGUUGGAGCUAGGGUUAGGGUUGGGCUUGGAGCUAGGAUUUUUCUGAGUGCAAUGAACCAACUCCCGAGUCUCUAGGACGUUCCUAAAACAAUUUGAUUUUUUCCCAUAGGAAUGCAUGGGUUAGGGUUAGGGUUAGGGUUGGAGCUAGGGUUAGGGUUAGGGUUAGGGUUGGAGUUAGGGUUAGUGUUGGAGCUAGGGUUAGGGUUGGGCUUGGAGCUAGGACUUUUCUGAGUGCAAUGAACCAACUCCCGAGUCUCUAGGACGUUCCCUAAAAAAAUUUGAUUUUUUCCCAUAGGAAUGCAUGGGUUAGGGUUAGGGUUAGGGUUGGAGCUAGGGUUAGGGUUAGGGUUAGGGUUAGAGUUAGGGUUAGUGUUGGAGCUAGGGUUAGGGUUGGGCUUGGAGCUAGGAUUUUUCUGAGUGCACUGAACCAACUCCCGAGUCUCUAGGACAUUCCUAAAAAAAUUGAUUUUUUUCCAUAGGAAUGCAUGGGUUAGGGUUAGGGUUAGGGUUGGAGCUAGGGUUAGUGUUAGGUUUAGGGUUGGAGUUAGGGUUAGUGUUGGAGCUAGGGUUAGGGUUGGGCUUGGAGCUAGGAUUUUUCUGAGUGCAAUGAACCAACUCCCGAGUCUCUAGGACGUUCCUAAAAAAAUUGAUUUUUUCCCAUAGGAAUGCAUGGGUUAGGGUUAGGGUUAGGGUUGGAGCUAGGGUUAGGGUUAGGGUUAGGGUUGGAGUUAGGGUUAGUGUUGGAGCUAGGGUUAGGGUUGGGCUUGGAGCUAGGAUUUUUCUGAGUGCAAUGAACCAACUCCCGAGUCUCUAGGACGUUCCUAAAAAAAUUUGAUUUUUUCCCAUAGGAAUGCAUGGGUUAGGGUUAGGGUUAGGGUUGGAGCUAGGGUUAGGGUUAGGGUUAGGGUUGGAGUUAGGGUUAGUGUUGGAGCUAGGGUUAGGGUUGGGCUUGGAGCUAGGAUUUUUCUGAGUGCACUGAACCAACUCCCGAGUCUCUAGGACAUUCCUAAAAAAAUUUGAUUUUUUCCCAUAGGAAUGCAUGGGUUAGGGUUAGGGUUAGGGUUGGAGCUAGGGUUAGGGUUAGGGUUGGAGUUAGGGUUAGUGUUGGAGCUAGGGUUAGGGUUGGGCUUGGAGCUAGGACUUUUCUGAGUGCAAUGAACCAACUCCCGAGUCUCUAGGACGUUCCCUAAAAAAAAUUGAUUUUUUCCCAUAGGAAUGCAUGGGUUAGGGUUAGGGUUAGGGUUGGAGCUAGGGUUAGGGUUAGGGUUAGGGUUAGAGUUAGGGUUAGUGUUGGAGCUAGGGUUAGGGUUGGGCUUGGAGCUAGGAUUUUUCUGAGUGCACUGAACCAACUCCCGAGUCUCUAGGACAUUCCUAAAAAAAAUUGAUUUUUUUCCCAUAGGAAUGCAUGGGUUAGGGUUAGGGUUAGGGUUGGAGCUAGGGUUAGUGUUAGGUUUAGGGUUGGAGUUAGGGUUAGUGUUGGAGUUAGGGUUAGGGUUGGGCUUGGAGCUAGGAUUUUUCUGAGUGCAAUGAACCAACUCCCGAGUCUCUAGGACGUUCCUAAAAAAAUUUGAUUUUUUCCCAUAGGAAUGCAUGGGUUAGGGUUAGGGUUAGGGUUGGAGCUAGGGUUAGGGUUAGGGUUAGGGUUGGAGUUAGGGUUAGUGUUGGAGCUAGGGUUAGGGUUGGGCUUGGAGCUAGGAUUUUUCUGAGUGCACUGAACCAACUCCCGAGUCUCUAGGACAUUCCUAAAAAAAUUUGAUUUUUUCCCAUAGGAAUGCAUGGGUUAGGGUUAUGGUUAGGGUUAGGGUUGGAGCUAGGGUUAGGGUUAGGGUUAGGGUUGGAGUUAGGGUUAGUGUUGGAGCUAGGGUUAGGGUUGGGCUUGGAGCUAGGAUUUUUCUGAGAGCACUGAACCAACUCCCGAGUCUCUAGGACAUUCCUAAAAAAAUUUGAUUUUUUCCCAUAGGAAUGCAUGGGUUAGGGUUAUGGUUAGGGUUAGGGUUGGAGCUAGGGUUAGGGUUAGGGUUAGGGUUGGAGUUAUGGUUAGUGUUGGAGCUAGGGUUAGGGUUGGGCUUGGAGCUAGGAUUUUUCUGAGUGCAAUGAACCAACUCCAGAGUCUCUAGGACGUUCCUAAAAAAAUUUGAUUUUUUCCCAUAGGAAUGCAUGGGUUAGGGUUAGGGUUAGGGUUGGAGCUAGGGUUAGGGUUAGGGUUAGGGUUAGGGUUGGAGUUAGGGUUAGUGUUGGAGCUAGGGUUAGGGUUGGGCUUGGAGCUAGGAUUUUUCUGAGUGCACUGAACCAACUCCCGAGUCUCUAGGACAUUCCUAAAAAAAUUUGAUUUUUUCCCAUAGGAAUGCAUGGGUUAGGGUUAGGGUUAGGGUUGGAGCUAGGGUUAGGGUUAGGGUUAGGGUUGGAGUUAGGGUUAGUGUUGGAGCUAGGGUUAGGGUUGGGCUUGGAGCUAGGAUUUUUCUGAGUGCACUGAACCAACUCCCGAGUCUCUAGGACAUUCCUAAAAAAUUUGAUUUUUUCCCAUAGGAAUGCAUGGGUUAGGGUUAUGGUUAGGGUUAGGGUUGGAGCUAGGGUUAGGGUUAGGGUUAGGGUUGGAGUUAGGGUUAGUGUUGGAGCUAGGGUUAGGGUUGGGCUUGGAGCUAGGAUUUUUCUGAGUGCAAUGAACCAACUCCCGAGUCUCUUGGACGUUCCUAAAAAAAUUUGAUUUUUUCCCAUAGGAAUGCAUGGGUUAGGGUUAGGGUUAGGGUUGGAGCUAGGGUUAGGGUUAGGGUUAGGGUUGGAGUUAGGGUUAGUGUUGGAGCUAGGGUUAGGGUUGGGCUUGGAGCUAGGAUUUUUCUGAGUGCACUGAACCAACUCCCGAGUCUCUAGGACAUUCCUAAAAAAAUUAGAUUUUUUCCCAUAGGAAUGCAUGGGUUAGGGUUAUGUUUAGGGUUAGGGUUGGAGCUAGGGUUAGGGUUAGGGUUAGGGUUGGAGUUAGGGUUAGUGUUGGAGCUAGGGUUAGGGUUGGGCUUGGAGCUAGGAUUUUUCUGAGUGCAAUGAACCAACUCCCGAGUCUCUUGGACGUUCCUAAAAAAAUUUGAUUUUUUCCCAUAGGAAUGCAUGGGUUAGGGUUAGGGUUAGGGUUGGAGCUAGGGUUAGGGUUAGGGUUAGGGUUGGAGUUAGGGUUAGUGUUGGAGCUAGGGUUAGGGUUGGGCUUGGAGCUAGGAUUUUUCUGAGUGCAAUGAACCAACUCCCGAGUCUCUAGGACGUUCCUAAAAAAAUUUGAUUUUUUCCCAUAGGAAUGCAUGGGUUAGGGUUAGGGUUAGGGUUGGAGCUAGGGUUAGGGUUAGGGUUAGGGUUGGAGUUAAGGUUAGUGUUGGAGCUAGGGUUAGGGUUGGGCUUGGAGCUAGGAUUUUUCUGAGUGCAAUGAACCAACUACCGAGUCUCUAGGACGUUCCUAAAAAAAUUUGAUUUUUUCCCAUAGGAAUGCAUGGGUUAGGGUUAUGGUUAGGGUUAGGGUUGGAGCUAGGGUUAGGGUUAGGGUUAGGGUUGGAGUUAGGGUUAGUGUUGGAGCUAGGGUUAGGGUUGGGCUUGGAGCUAGGAUUUUUCUGAGUGCAAUGAACCAACCCCCGAGUCUCUAGGACGUUCCUAAAAAAAUUUGAUUUUUUCCCAUAGGAAUGCAUGGGUUAGGGUUAUGGUUAGGGUUAGGGUUGGAGCUAGGGUUAGGGUUAGGGUUAGGGUUGGAGUUAGGGUUAGUGUUGGAGCUAGGGUUAGGGUUGGGCUUGGAGCUAGGAUUUUUCUGAGUGCAAUGAACCAACUCCCGAGUCUCUAGGACAUUCCUAAAAAAAUUUGAUUUUUUCCCAUAGGAAUGCAUGGGUUAGGGUUAGGGUUAGGGUUGGAGCUAGGGUUAGGGUUAGGGUUAGGGUUGGAGUUAGGGUUAGUGUUGGAGCUAGGGUUAGGGUUGGGCUUGGAGCUAGGAUUUUUCUGAGUGCAAUGAACCAACUCCCGAGUCUCUAGGACGUUCCUAAAAAAAUUUGAUUUUUUCCCAUAGGAAUGCAUGGGUUAGGGUUAGGGUUAGGGUUGGAGCUAGGGUUAGGGUUAGGGUUAGGGUUAGUGUUGGAGCUAGGGUUAGGGUUGGGCUUGGAGCUAGGAUUUUUCUGAGUGCACUGAACCAACUCCCGAGUCUCUAGGACAUUCCUAAAAAAAUUAGAUUUUUUCCCAUAGGAAUGCAUGGGUUAGGGUUAGGGUUAGGCUUGGAGCUAGGGUUAGGGUUAGGGUUAGGGUUGGAGUUAGGGUUAGUGUUGGAGCUAGGGUUAGGGUUGGGCUUGGAGCUAGGAUUUUUCUGAGUGCAAUGAACCAACUCCCGAGUCUCUAGGACGUUCCUAAAAAAAUUUGAUUUUUUCCCAUAGGAAUGCAUGGGUUAGGGUUAGGGUUAGGGUUGGAGCUAGGGUUAGGGUUAGGGUUAGGGUUGGAGUUAGGGUUAGUGUUGGAGCUAGGGUUAGGGUUGGGCUUGGAGCUAGGAUUUUUCUGAGUGCACUGAACCAACUCCCGAGUCUCUAGGACAUUCCUAAAAAAAUUUGAUUUUUUCCCAUAGGAAUGCAUGGGUUAGGGUUAUGGUUAGGGUUAGGGUUGGAGCUAGGGUUAGGGUUAGGGUUAGGGUUGGAGUUAGGGUUAGUGUUGGAGCUAGGGUUAGGGUUGGGCUUGGAGCUAGGAUUUUUCUGAGUGCACUGAACCAACUCCCGAGUCUCUAGGACAUUCCUAAAAAAAUUUGAUUUUUUCCCAUAGGAAUGCAUGGGUUAGGGUUAGGGUUAGGCUUGGAGCUAGGGUUAGGGUUAGGGUUAGGGUUGGAGUUAGGGUUAGUGUUGGAGCUAGGGUUAGGGUUGGGCUUGGAGCUAGGAUUUUUCUGAGUGCACUGAACCAACUCCCGAGUCUCUAGGACAUUCCUAAAAAAAAUUGAUUUUUUUCCCAUAGGAAUGCAUGGGUUAGGGUUAUGGUUAGGGUUAGGGUUGGAGCUAGGGUUAGGGUUGGAGUUAGGGUUAGUGUUGGAGCUAGGGUUAGGGUUAGGGUUAGGGUUAGGGUUAGGGUUAGGGUUAGGUUAGGGUUAGGGUUGGAGCUAGGGUUAGGGUUAGGGUUAGGGUUGGAGUUAGGGUUAGUGUUGGACCUAGGGUUAGGGUUGGGCUUGGAGCUAGGAUUUUUCUGAGUGCAAUGAACCAACUCCCGAGUCUCUAGGACGUUCCUAAACAAAUUUGAUUUUUUCCCAUAGGAAUGCAUGGGUUAGGGUUAGGGUUAGGGUUGGAGCUAGGGUUAGGGUUAGGGUUAGGGUUGGAGUUAGGGUUAGUGUUGGAGCUAGGGUUAGGGUUGGGCUUGGAGCUAGGAUUUUUCUGAGUGCAAUGAACCAACUCCCGAGUCUCUAGGACGUUCCUAAAAAAUUUGAUUUUUUCCCAUAGGAAUGCAUGGGUUAGGGUUAGGGUUAGGGUUGGAGCUAGGGUUAGGGUUAGGGUUAGGGUUGGAGUUAAGGUUAGUGUUGGAGCUAGGGUUAGGGUUGGGCUUGGAGCUAGGAUUUUUCUGAGUGCAAUGAACCAACUCCCGAGUCUCUAGGACGUUCCUAAAAAAAAUUGAUUUUUUCCCAUAGGAAUGCAUGGGUUAGGGUUAUGGUUAGGGUUAGGGUUGGAGCUAGGGUUAGGGUUAGGGUUAGGGUUGGAGUUAGGGUUAGUGUUGGAGCUAGGGUUAGGGUUGGGCUUGGAGCUAGGAUUUUUCUGAGUGCAAUGAACCAACCCCCGAGUCUCUAGGACGUUCCUAAAAAAAUUUGAUUUUUUCCCAUAGGAAUGCAUGGGUUAGGGUUAUGGUUAGGGUUAGGGUUGGAGCUAGGGUUAGGGUUAGGGUUAGGGUUGGAGUUAGGGUUAGUGUUGGAGCUAGGGUUAGGGUUGGGCUUGGAGCUAGGAUUUUUCUGAGUGCAAUGAACCAACUCCCGAGUCUCUAGGACGUUCCUAAAAAAAUUUGAUUUUUUUCCCCNNNNNNNNNNNNNNNNNNNNNNNNNNNNNNNNNNNNNNNNNNNNNNNNNNNNNNNNNNNNNNNNNNNNNNNNNNNNNNNNNNNNNNNNNNNNNNNNNNNNNNNNNNNNNNNNNNNNNNNNNNNNNNNNNNNNNNNNNNNNNNNNNNNNNNNNNNNNNNNNNNNNNNNNNNNNNNNNNNNNNNNNNNNNNNNNNNNNNNNNGUCUCUGAGGACAUUCCUAAAAAAAAUUUGAUUUUUCCCAUAGGAAUGCAUGGAGUUGGGGUUAGGGUUAGGGUUGGAGCUAGGGUUAGGGUUAGGGUUGGGGUUGGAGUUAGGGUUAGUGUUGGAGCUAGGGUUAGGGUUGGGCUUGGAGCUAGGAUUUUUCUGAGUGCAAUGAACCAACUCCCGAGUCUCUAGGACGUUCCUAAAAAAAUUUGAUUUUUUCCCAUAGGAAUGCAUGGGUUAGGGUUAGGGUUAGGGUUGGAGCUAGGGUUAGGGUUAGGGUUAGGGUUGGAGUUAGGGUUAGUGUUGGAGCUAGGGUUAGGGUUGGGCUUGGAGCUAGGAUUUUUCUGAGUGCACUGAACCAACUCCCGAGUCUCUAGGACGUUCCUAAAAAAAUUUGAUUUUUUUCCCAUAGGAAUGCAUGGGUUAGGGUUAUGGUUAGGGUUGGAGCUAGGGUUAGGGUUAGGGUUAGGGUUGGAGUUAGGGUUAGUGUUGGAGCUAGGGUUAGGGUUGGGCUUGGAGCUAGGAUUUUUCUGAGUGCACUGAACCAACUCCCGAGUCUCUAGGACGUUCCUAAAAAAAUUUGAUUUUUUCCCAUAGGAAUGCAUGGGUUAGGGUUAGGGUUAGGGUUGGAGCUAGGGUUAGGGUUAGGGUUAGGGUUGGAGUUAGGGUUAGUGUUGGAGCUAGGGUUAGGGUUGGGCUUGGAGCUAGGAUUUUUCUGAGUGCACUGAACCAACUCCCGAGUCUCUAGGACGUUCCUAAAAAAAAAUUUGAUUUUUUCCCAUAGGAAAUGCAUGGGUUAGGGUUAGGGUUAGGGUUGGAGCUAGGGUUAGGGUUAGGGUUAGGGUUGGAGUUAGGGUUAGUGUUGGAGCUAGGGUUAGGGUUGGGCUUGGAGCUAGGAUUUUUCUGAGUGCACUGAACCAACUCCCGAGUCUCUAGGACAUUCCUAAAAAAAUUUGAUUUUUUCCCAUAGGAAUGCAUGGGUUAGGGUUAUGGUUGGGGUUAGGGUUGGAGCUAGGGUUAGGGUUAGGGUUAGGGUUGGAGUUAGGGUUAGUGUUGGAGCUAGGGUUAGGGUUGGGCUUGGAGCUAGGAUUUUUCUGAGUGCACUGAACCAACUCCCGAGUCUCUAGGACAUUCCUAAAAAAAAUUGAUUUUUUCCCAUAGGAAUGCAUGGGUUAGGGUUAUGGUUAGGGUUAGGGUUGGAGCUAGGGUUAGGGUUAGGGUUAGGGUUGGAGUUAGGGUUAGUGUUGGAGCUAGGGUUAGGGUUGGGCUUGGAGCUAGGAUUUUUCUGAGUGCACUGAACCAACUCCCGAGUCUCUAGGACAUUCCUAAAAAAAUUUGAUUUUUCCCAUAGGAAUGCAUGGGUUAGGGUUAGGGUUAGGGUUGGAGCUAGGGUUAGGGUUAGGGUUAGGGUUGGAGUUAGGGUUAGUGUUGGAGCUAGGGUUAGGGUUGGGCUUGGAGCUAGGAUUUUUCUGAGUGCACUGAACCAACUCCCGAGUCUCUAGGACAUUCCUAAAAAAAUUUGAUUUUUUCCCAUAGGAAUGCAUGGGUUAGGGUUAGGGUUAGGGUUGGAGCUAGGGUUAGGGUUAGGGUUAGGGUUGGAGUUAGGGUUAGUGUUGGAGCUAGGGUUAGGGUUGGGCUUGGAGCUAGGAUUUUUCUGAGUGCACUGAACCAACUCCCGAGUCUCUAGGACAUUCCUAAAAAAAUUUGAUUUUUCCCAUAGGAAUGCAUGGGUUAGGGUUAUGGUUAGUUAGGGUUGGAGCUAGGGUUAGGGUUAGGGUUAGGGUUGGAGUUAGGGUUAGUGUUGGAGCUAGGGUUAGGGUUGGGCUUGGAGCUAGGAUUUUUCUGAGUGCAAUGAACCAACUCCCGAGUCUCUAGGACGUUCCUAAAAAAAUUUGAUUUUUUUCCCAUAGGAAUGCAUGGGUUAGGGUUAGGGUUAGGGUUAGGGUUGGAGCUAGGGUUAGGGUUAGGGUUAGGGUUGGAGUUAGGGUUAGUGUUGGAGCUAGGGUUAGGGUUGGGCUUGGAGCUAGGAUUUUUCUGAGUGCAAUGAACCAACUCCCGAGUCUCUAGGACGUUCCUAAAAAAAUUUGAUUUUUUCCCAUAGGAAUGCAUGGGUUAGGGUUAUGGUUAGGGUUAGGGUUGGAGCUAGGGUUAGGGUUAGGGUUAGGGUUGGAGUUAGGGUUAGUGUUGGAGCUAGGGUUAGGGUUGGGCUUGGAGCUAGGAUUUUCUGAGUGCAAUGAACCAACUCCCGAGUCUCUAGGACGUUCCUAAAAAAAUUUGAUUUUUUCCCAUAGGAAUGCAUGGGUUAGGGUUAGGGUUAGGGUUGGAGCUAGGGUUAGGGUUAGGGUUAGGGUUGGAGUUAGGGUUAGUGUUGGAGCUAGGGUUAGGGUUGGGCUUGGAGCUAGGAUUUUUCUGAGUGCAAUGAACCAACUCCCGAGUCUCUAGGACGUUCCUAAAAAAUUUGAUUUUUUCCCAUAGGAAUGCAUGGGUUAGGGUUAGGGUUAGGGUUAGGGUUGGAGCUAGGGUUAGGGUUAGGGUUAGGGUUGGAGUUAGGGUUAGUGUUGGAGCUAGGGUUAGGGUUGGGCUUGGAGCUAGGAUUUUCUGAGUGCACUGAACCAACUCCCGAGUCUCUAGGACAUUCCUAAAAAAAUUUGAUUUUUUCCCAUAGGAAUGCAUGGGUUAGGGUUAGGGUUAGGGUUAGGGUUGGAGCUAGGGUUAGGGUUAGGGUUAGGGUUGGAGUUAGGGUUAGUGUUGGAGCUAGGGUUAGGGUUGGGCUUGGAGCUAGGAUUUUUCUGAGUGCACUGAACCAACUCCCGAGUCUCUAGGACAUUCCUAAAAAAAUUUGAUUUUUCCCAUAGGAAUGCAUGGGUUAGGGUUAGGGUUAGGGUUGGAGCUAGGGUUAGGGUUAGGGUUGGAGUUAGGGUUAGUGUUGGAGCUAGGGUUAGGGUUGGGCUUGGAGCUAGGAUUUUUCUGAGUGCAAUGAACCAACUCCCGAGUCUCUAGGACGUUCCUAAAAAAUUUGAUUUUUUCCCAUAGGAAUGCAUGGGUUAGGGUUAGGGUUAGGGUUGGAGCUAGGGUUAGGGUUAGGGUUAGGGUUGGAGUUAGGGUUAGUGUUGGAGCUAGGGUUAGGGUUGGGCUUGGAGCUAGGAUUUUUCUGAGUGCACUGAACCAACUCCCGAGUCUCUAGGACGUUCCUAAAAAAAUUUGAUUUUUUCCCAUAGGAAUGCAUGGGUUAGGGUUAGGGUUAGGGUUAGGGUUGGAGCUAGGGUUAGGGUUAGGGUUAGGGUUGGAGUUAGGGUUAGUGUUGGAGCUAGGGUUAGGGUUGGGCUUGGAGCUAGGAUUUUUCUGAGUGCACUGAACCAACUCCCGAGUCUCUCUAGGAGGCGUUCCUAAAAAAUUUGAUUUUUUCCCAUAGGAAUGCAUGGGUUAGGGUUAGGGUUAGGGUUAGGGUUGGAGCUAGGGUUAGGGUUAGGGUUAGGGUUGGAGUUAGGGUUAGUGUUGGAGCUAGGGUUAGGGUUGGGCUUGGAGCUAGGAUUUUUCUGAGUGCAAUGAACCAACUCCCGAGUCUCUUGGACGUUCCUAAAAAAAUUUGAUUUUUUUCCCAUAGGAAUGCAUGGGUUAGGGUUAGGGUUAGGGUUGGAGCUAGGGUUAGGGUUAGGGUUAGGGUUGGAGUUAGGGUUAGUGUUGGAGCUAGGGUUAGGGUUGGGCUUGGAGCUAGGAUUUUUCUGAGUGCACUGAACCAACUCCCGAGUCUCUAGGACAUUCCUAAAAAAAUUUGAUUUUUUCCCAUAGGAAUGCAUGGGUUAGGGUUAGGGUUAGGGUUGGAGCUAGGGUUAGGGUUAGGGUUAGGGUUGGAGUUAGGGUUAGUGUUGGAGCUAGGGUUAGGGUUGGGCUUGGAGCUAGGAUUUUUCUGAGUGCACUGAACCAACUCCCGAGUCUCUAGGACAUUCCUAAAAAAAUUUGAUUUUUUCCCAUAGGAAUGCAUGGGUUAGGGUUAUGGUUAGGGUUAGGGUUGGAGCUAGGGUUAGGGUUAGGGUUAGGGUUGGAGUUAGGGUUAGUGUUGGAGCUAGGGUUAGGGUUGGGCUUGGAGCUAGGAUUUUUCUGAGUGCACUGAACCAACUCCCGAGUCUCUAGGACGUUCCUAAAAAAUUUGAUUUUUUCCCAUAGGAAUGCAUGGGUUAGGGUUAUGGUUAGGGUUAGGGUUGGAGCUAGGGUUAGGGUUAGGGUUAGGGUUGGAGUUAGGGUUAGUGUUGGAGCUAGGGUUAGGGUUGGGCUUGGAGCUAGGAUUUUUCUGAGUGCACUGAACCAACUCCCGAGUCUCUAGGACAUUCCUAAAAAAAUUUGAUUUUUUUCCCAUAGGAAUGCAUGGGUUAGGGUUAGGGUUAGGGUUGGAGCUAGGGUUAGGGUUAGGGUUAGGGUUGGAGUUAGGGUUAGUGUUGGAGCUAGGGUUAGGGUUGGGCUUGGAGCUAGGAUUUUUCUGAGUGCACUGAACCAACUCCCGAGUCUCUAGGACAUUCCUAAAAAAAAAUUUGAUUUUUUCCCAUAGGAAUGCAUGGGUUAGGGUUAUGGUUAGGGUUAGGGUUGGAGCUAGGGUUAGGGUUAGGGUUAGGGUUGGAGUUAGGGUUAGUGUUGGAGCUAGGGUUAGGGUUGGGCUUGGAGCUAGGAUUUUUCUGAGUGCACUGAACCAACUCCCGAGUCUCUAGGACAUUCCUAAAAAAAAAUUGAUUUUUUCCCAUAGGAAUGCAUGGGUUAGGGUUAUGGUUAGGGUUAGGGUUGGAGCUAGGGUUAGGGUUAGGGUUAGGGUUGGAGUUAGGGUUAGUGUUGGAGCUAGGGUUAGGGUUGGGCUUGGAGCUAGGAUUUUUCUGAGUGCAAUGAACCAACUCCCGAGUCUCUAGGACAUUCCUAAAAAAAUUUGAUUUUUUCCCAUAGGAAUGCAUGGGUUAGGGUUAGGGUUAGGGUUGGAGCUAGGGUUAGGGUUAGGGUUGGGUUGGAGUUAGGGUUAGUGUUGGAGCUAGGGUUAGGGUUGGGCUUGGAGCUAGGAUUUUUCUGAGUGCAAUGAACCAACUCCCGAGUCUCUAGGACAUUCCUAAAAAAAUUUGAUUUUUUCCCAUAGGAAUGCAUGGGUUAGGGUUAGGGUUAGGGUUGGAGCUAGGGUUAGGGUUAGGGUUAGGGUUGGAGUUAGGGUUAGUGUUGGAGCUAGGGUUAGGGUUGGGCUUGGAGCUAGGAUUUUUCUGAGUGCAAUGAACCAACUCCCGAGUCUCUAGGACAUUCCUAAAAAAAAAUUUGAUUUUUUCCCAUAGGAAUGCAUGGGUUAGGGUUAUGGUUAGGGUUAGGGUUGGAGCUAGGGUUAGGGUUAGGGUUAGGGUUGGAGUUAGGGUUAGUGUUGGAGCUAGGGUUAGGGUUGGGCUUGGAGCUAGGAUUUUUCUGAGUGCAAUGAACCAACUCCCGAGUCUCUAGGACGUUCUAAAAAAAAUUUGAUUUUUUCCCAUAGGAAUGCAUGGGUUAGGGUUAUGGUUAGGGUUAGGGUUGGAGCUAGGGUUAGGGUUAGGGUUAGGGUUGGAGUUAGGGUUAGUGUUGGAGCUAGGGUUAGGGUUGGGCUUGGAGCUAGGAUUUUUCUGAGUGCAAUGAACCAACUCCCGAGUCUCUAGGACGUUCCUAAAAAAAUUUGAUUUUUUCCCAUAGGAAUGCAUGGGUUAGGGUUAGGGUUAGGGUUGGAGCUAGGGUUAGGGUUAGGGUUAGGGUUGGAGUUAGGGUUAGUGUUGGAGCUAGGGUUAGGGUUGGGCUUGGAGCUAGGAUUUUUCUGAGUGCAAUGAACCAACUCCCGAGUCUCUAGGACGUUCCUAAAAAAAAAUUUGAUUUUUUCCCAUAGGAAUGCAUGGGUUAGGGUUAGGGUUAGGGUUGGAGCUAGGGUUAGGGUUAGGGUUAGGGUUGGAGUUAGGGUUAGUGUUGGAGCCAGGGUUAGGGUUGGGCUUGGAGCUAGGAUUUUUCUGAGUGCACUGAACCAACUCCCGAGUCUCUAGGACAUUCCUAAAAAAUUUGAUUUUUUUCCCAUAGGAAUGCAUGGGUUAGGGUUAGUGGUUAGGGUUAGGGUUGGAGCUAGGGUUAGGGUUAGGGUUAGGGUUGGAGUUAGGGUUAGUGUUGGAGCUAGGGUUAGGGUUGGGCUUGGAGCUAGGAUUUUUCUGAGUGCAAUGAACCAACCCCCGAGUCUCUAGGACGUUCCUAAAAAAAUUUGAUUUUUUCCCUAUAGGAAUGCAUGGGUUAGGGUUAGGGUUAGGGUUGGAGCUAGGGUUAGGGUUAGGGUUAGGGUUGGAGUUAGGGUUAGUGUUGGAGCUAGGGUUAGGGUUGGGCUUGGAGCUAGGAUUUUUCUGAGUGCAAUGAACCAACUCCCGAGUCUCUAGGACGUUCCUAAAAAAAUUUGAUUUUUUCCCAUAGGAAUGCAUGGGUUAGGGUUAGGGUUAGGGUUGGAGCUAGGGUUAGGGUUAGGGUUAGGGUUGGAGUUAGGGUUAGUGUUGGAGCUAGGGUUAGGGUUGGGCUUGGAGCUAGGUUUUUCUGAGGGUGCACUGAACCAACUCCCGAGUCUCUAGGACAUUCCUAAAAAAAUUUGAUUUUUUCCCAUAGGAAUGCAUGGGUUAGGGUUAUGGUUAGGGUUGGAGCUAGGGUUAGGGUUAGGGUUAGGGUUGGAGUUAGGGUUAGUGUUGGAGCUAGGGUUAGGGUUGGGCUUGGAGCUAGGAUUUUUCUGAGUGCACUGAACCAACUCCCGAGUCUCUAGGACAUUCCUAAAAAAAUUUGAUUUUUUCCCAUAGGAAUGCAUGGGUUAGGGUUAGGGUUAGGGUUGGAGCUAGGGUUAGGGUUAGGGUUAGGGUUGGAGUUAGGGUUAGUGUUGGAGCUAGGGUUAGGGUUGGGCUUGGAGCUAGGAUUUUUCUGAGUGCACUGAACCAACUCCCGAGUCUCUAGGACAUUCCUAAAAAAAUUUGAUUUUUCCCAUAGGAAUGCAUGGGUUAGGGUUAUGGUUAGGGUUAGGGUUGGAGCUAGGGUUAGGGUUAGGGUUAGGGUUGGAGUUAGGGUUAGUGUUGGAGCUAGGGUUAGGGUUGGGCUUGGAGCUAGGAUUUUUCUGAGUGCACUGAACCAACUCCCGAGUCUCUAGGACAUUCCUAAAAAAAUUUGAUUUUUUUCCCAUAGGAAUGCAUGGGUUAGGGUUAGGGUUAUGGUUAGGGUUAGGGUUAGGGUUAGGGUUAGGGUUGGAGUUAGGGUUAGUGUUGGAGCUAGGGUUAGGGUUGGGCUUGGAGCUAGGAUUUUUCUGAGUGCACUGAACCAACUCCCGGGUCUCUAGGACAUUCCUAAAAAAAUUUGAUUUUUUCCCAUAGGAAUGCAUGGGUUAGGGUUAGGGUUAGGGUUGGAGCUAGGGUUAGGGUUAGGGUUAGGGUUGGAGUUAGGGUUAGUGUUGGAGCUAGGGUUAGGGUUGGGCUUGGAGCUAGGAUUUUUCUGAGUGCAAUGAACCAACUCCCGAGUCUCUAGGACAUUCCUAAAAAAAUUUGAUUUUUUCCCAUAGGAAUGCAUGGGUUAGGGUUAGGGUUAGGGUUGGAGCUAGGGUUAGGGUUAGGGUUAGGGUUGGAGUUAGGGUUAGUGUUGGAGCUAGGGUUAGGGUUGGGCUUGGAGCUAGGAUUUUUCUGAGUGCACUGAACCAACUCCCGAGUCUCUAGGACAUUCCUAAAAAAAUUUGAUUUUUUUCCCAUAGGAAUGCAUGGGUUAGGGUUAUGGUUAGGGUUAGGGUUGGAGCUAGGGUUAGGGUUAGGGUUAGGGUUGGAGUUAGGGUUAGUGUUGGAGCUAGGGUUAGGGUUGGGCUUGGAGCUAGGAUUUUUCUGAGUGCAAUGAACCAACCCCCGAGUCUCUAGGACGUUCCUAAAAAAAUUUGAUUUUUUCCCAUAGGAAUGCAUGGGUUAGGGUUAUGGUUAGGGUUGGAGCUAGGGUUAGGGUUAGGGUUAGGGUUGGAGUUAGGGUUAGUGUUGGAGCUAGGGUUAGGGUUGGGCUUGGAGCUAGGAUUUUUCUGAGUGCAAUGAACCAACUCCCGAGUCUCUAGGACGUUCCUAAAAAAUUUGAUUUUUUCCCAUAGGAAUGCAUGGGUUAGGGUUAGGGUUAGGGUUGGAGCUAGGGUUAGGGUUAGGGUUAGGGUUGGAGUUAGGGUUAGUGUUGGAGCUAGGGUUAGGGUUGGGCUUGGAGCUAGGAUUUUUCUGAGUGCACUGAACCAACUCCCGAGUCUCUAGGACGUUCCUAAAAAAAUUUGAUUUUUUCCCAUAGGAAUGCAUGGGUUAGGGUUAUGGUUAGGGUUAGGGUUAGGGUUGGAGUUAGGGUUAGUGUUGGAGCUAGGGUUAGGGUUGGGCUUGGAGCUAGGAUUUUUCUGAGUGCACUGAACCAACUCCCGAGUCUCUAGGACAUUCCUAAAAAAAUUUGAUUUUUUCCCAUAGGAAUGCAUGGGUUAGGGUUAGGGUUAGGGUUGGAGCUAGGGUUAGGGUUAGGGUUAGGGUUGGAGUUAGGGUUAGUGUUGGAGCUAGGGUUAGGGUUGGGCUUGGAGCUAGGAUUUUUCUGAGUGCACUGAACCAACUCCCGAGUCUCUAGGACAUUCCUAAAAAAAUUUGAUUUUUUCCUAUAGGAAUGCAUGGGUUAGGGUUAUGGUUAGGGUUAGGGUUGGAGCUAGGGUUAGGGUUAGGGUUAGGGUUGGAGUUAGGGUUAGUGUUGGAGCUAGGGUUAGGGUUGGGCUUGGAGCUAGGAUUUUUCUGAGUGCACUGAACCAACUCCCGAGUCUCUAGGACAUUCCUAAAAAAAUUUGAUUUUUUCCCAUAGGAAUGCAUGGGUUAGGGUUAGGGUUAGGGUUGGAGCUAGGGUUAGGGUUAGGGUUAGGGUUGGAGUUAGGGUUAGUGUUGGAGCUAGGGUUAGGGUUGGGCUUGGAGCUAGGAUUUUUCUGAGUGCACUGAACCAACUCCCGAGUCUCUAGGACAUUCCUAAAAAAAUUUGAUUUUUUCCUAUAGGAAUGCAUGGGUUAGGGUUAUGGUUAGGGUUAGGGUUGGAGCUAGGGUUAGGGUUAGGGUUAGGGUUGGAGUUAGGGUUAGUGUUGGAGCUAGGGUUAGGGUUGGGCUUGGAGCUAGGAUUUUUCUGAGUGCACUGAACCAACUCCCGAGUCUCUAGGACAUUCCUAAAAAAAUUUGAUUUUUUCCCAUAGGAAUGCAUGGGUUAGGGUUAUGGUUAGGGUAAGGGUUGGAGCUAGGGUUAGGGUUAGGGUUAGGGUUGGAGUUAGGGUUAGUGUUGGAGCUAGGGUUAGGGUUGGGCUUGGAGCUAGGAUUUUUCUGAGUGCAAUGAACCAACUCCCGAGUCUCUAGGACGUUCCUAAAAAAAUUUGAUUUUUUCCCAUAGGAAUGCAUGGGUUAGGGUUAGGGUUAGGGUUGGAGCUAGUGUUAGGGUUAGGGAUAGGGUUGGAGUUAAGGUUAGUGUUGGAGCUAGGGUUAGGGUUGGGCUUGGAGCUAGGAUUUUUCUGAGUGCACUGAACCAACUCCCGAGUCUCUAGGACGUUCCUAAAAAAAUUUGAUUUUUUCCCAUAGGAAUGCAUGGGUUAGGGUUAUGGUUAGGGUUGGAGCUAGGGUUAGGGUUAGGGUUAGGGUUGGAGUUAGGGUUAGUGUUGGAGCUAGGGUUAGGGUUGGGCUUGGAGCUAGGAUUUUUCUGAGUGCAAUGAACCAACUCCCGAGUCUCUAGGACGUUCCUAAAAAAAUUUGAUUUUUUCCCAUAGGAAUGCAUGGGUUAGGGUUAGGGUUAGGGUUGGAGCUAGGGUUAGGGUUAGGGUUAGGGUUGGAGUUAGGGUUAGUGUUGGAGCUAGGGUUAGGGUUGGGCUUGGAGCUAGGAUUUUUCUGAGUGCACUGAACCAACUCCCGAGUCUCUAGGACGUUCCUAAAAAAAUUUGAUUUUUUCCCAUAGGAAUGCAUGGGUUAGGGUUAGGGUUAGGGUUAGGGUUGGAGCUAGGGUUAGGGUUAGGGUUAGGGUUGGAGUUAGGGUUGGGCUUGGAGCUAGGGUUAGGGUUGGGCUUGGAGCUAGGAUUUUUCUGAGUGCAAUGAACCAACCCCGAGUCUCUAGGACGUUCCUAAAAAAUCUGAUUUUUUCCCAUAGGAAUGCAUGGGUUAGGGUUAUGGUUAGGGUUAGGGUUGGAGCUAGGGUUAGGGUUAGGGUUAGGGUUGGAGUUAGGGUUAGUGUUGGAGCUAGGGUUAGGCUUGGGCUUGGAGCUAGGAUUUUUCUGAGUGCAAUGAACCAACUCCCGAGUCUCUAGGACGUUCCUAAAAAAAUUUGAUUUUUUCCCAUAGGAAUGCAUGGGUUAGGGUUAGGGUUAGGGUUGGAGCUAGGGUUAGGGUUAGGGUUAGGGUUGGAGUUAGGGUUAGUGUUGGAGCUAGGGUUAGGGUUGGGCUUGGAGCUAGGAUUUUUCUGAGUGCACUGAACCAACUCCCGAGUCUCUAGGACAUUCCUAAAAAAAUUUGAUUUUUUCCCAUAGGAAUGCAUGGGUUAGGGUUAGGGUUAGGGUUGGAGCUAGGGUUAGGGUUAGGGUUAGGGUUGGAGUUAGGGUUAGUGUUGGAGCUAGGGUUAGGGUUGGGCUUGGAGCUAGGAUUUUUCUGAGUGCACUGAACCAACUCCCGAGUCUCUAGGACAUUCCUAAAAAAUUUGAUUUUUUCCCAUAGGAAUGCAUGGGUUAGGGUUAUGGUUAGGGUUAGGGUUGGAGCUAGGGUUAGGGUUAGGGUUAGGGUUGGAGUUAGGGUUAGUGUUGGAGCUAGGGUUAGGGUUGGGCUUGGAGCUAGGAUUUUUCUGAGUGCAAUGAACCAACUCCCGAGUCUCUUGGACGUUCCUAAAAAAAUUUGAUUUUUUUCCCAUAGGAAUGCAUGGGUUAGGGUUAGGGUUAGGGUUGGAGCUAGGGUUAGGGUUAGGGUUAGGGUUGGAGUUAGGGUUAGUGUUGGAGCUAGGGUUAGGGUUGGGCUUGGAGCUAGGAUUUUUCUGAGUGCACUGAACCAACUCCCGAGUCUCUAGGACAUUCCUAAAAAAAUUUGAUUUUUUCCCAUAGGAAUGCAUGGGUUAGGGUUAGGGUUAGGGUUGGAGCUAGGGUUAGGGUUAGGGUUAGGGUUGGAGUUAGGGUUAGUGUUGGAGCUAGGGUUAGGGUUGGGCUUGGAGCUAGGAUUUUUCUGAGUGCACUGAACCAACUCCCGAGUCUCUAGGACAUUCCUAAAAAAAUUUGAUUUUUUCCCAUAGGAAUGCAUGGGUUAGGGUUAUGGUUAGGGUUAGGGUUGGAGCUAGGGUUAGGGUUAGGGUUAGGGUUGGAGUUAGGGUUAGUGUUGGAGCUAGGGUUAGGGUUGGGCUUGGAGCUAGGAUUUUUCUGAGUGCACUGAACCAACUCCCGAGUCUCUAGGACAUUCCUAAAAAAAUUUGAUUUUUUCCCAUAGGAAUGCAUGGGUUAGGGUUAGGGUUAGGGUUGGAGCUAGGGUUAGGGUUAGGGUUAGGGUUGGAGUUAGGGUUAGUGUUGGAGCUAGGGUUAGGGUUGGGCUUGGAGCUAGGAUUUUUCUGAGUGCACUGAACCAACUCCCGAGUCUCUAGGACAUUCCUAAAAAAAUUUGAUUUUUUCCCAUAGGAAUGCAUGGGUUAGGGUUAUGGUUAGGGUUAGGGUUGGAGCUAGGGUUAGGGUUAGGGUUAGGGUUGGAGUUAGGGUUAGUGUUGGAGCUAGGGUUAGGGUUGGGCUUGGAGCUAGGAUUUUUCUGAGUGCAAUGAACCAACUCCCGAGUCUCUUGGACGUUCCUAAAAAAAUUUGAUUUUUUCCCAUAGGAAUGCAUGGGUUAGGGUUAGGGUUAGGGUUGGAGCUAGGGUUAGGGUUAGGGUUAGGGUUGGAGUUAGGGUUAGUGUUGGAGCUAGGGUUAGGGUUGGGCUUGGAGCUAGGAUUUUUCUGAGUGCACUGAACCAACUCCCGAGUCUCUAGGACAUUCCUAAAAAAAUUUGAUUUUUUCCCAUAGGAAUGCAUGGGUUAGGGUUAGGGUUAGGGUUGGAGCUAGGGUUAGGGUUAGGGUUAGGGUUGGAGUUAGGGUUAGUGUUGGAGCUAGGGUUAGGGUUGGGCUUGGAGCUAGGAUUUUUCUGAGUGCAAUGAACCAACUCCCGAGUCUCUUGGACGUUCCUAAAAAAAUUUGAUUUUUUCCCAUAGGAAUGCAUGGGUUAGGGUUAGGGUUAGGGUUGGAGCUAGGGUUAGGGUUAGGGUUAGGGUUGGAGUUAGGGUUAGUGUUGGAGCUAGGGUAGGGUUGGGCUUGGAGCUAGGAUUUUUCUGAGUGCAAUGAACCAACUCCCGAGUCUCUUGGACGUUCCUAAAAAAAUUUGAUUUUUUCCCAUAGGAAUGCAUGGGUUAGGGUUAGGGUUAGGGUUGGAGCUAGGGUUAGGGUUAGGGUUAGGGUUGGAGUUAGGGUUAGUGUUGGAGCUAGGGUUAGGGUUGGGCUUGGAGCUAGGAUUUUUCUGAGUGCAAUGAACCAACUCCCGGGUCUCUAGGACGUUCCUAAAAAAAUUUGAUUUUUUCCCAUAGGAAUGCAUGGGUAAGGGUUAGGGUUAGGGUUGGAGCUAGGAUUAGGGUUAGGGUUAGGGUUGGAGUUAAGGUUAGUGUUGGAGCUAGGGUUAGGGUUGGGCUUGGAGCUAGGAUUUUUCUGAGUGCAAUGAACCAACUCCCGAGUCUCUAGGACGUUCCUAAAAAAAUUUGAUUUUUUCCCAUAGGAAUGCAUGGGUUAGGGUUAUGGUUAGGGUUAGGGUUGGAGCUAGGGUUAGGGUUAGGGUUAGGGUUGGAGUUAGGGUUAGUGUUGGAGCUAGGGUUAGGGUUGGGCUUGGAGCUAGGAUUUUUCUGAGUGCAAUGAACCAACCCCCGAGUCUCUAGGACGUUCCUAAAAAAUUUGAUUUUUUCCCAUAGGAAUGCAUGGGUUAGGGUUAUGGUUAGGGUUAGGGUUGGAGCUAGGGUUAGGGUUAGGGUUAGGGUUGGAGUUAGGGUUAGUGUUGGAGCUAGGGUUAGGGUUGGGCUUGGAGCUAGGAUUUUUCUGAGUGCAAUGAACCAACUCCCGAGUCUCUAGGACGUUCCUAAAAAAAUUUGAUUUUUUCCCAUAGGAAUGCAUGGGUUAGGGUUAGGGUUAGGGUUGGAGCUAGGGUUAGGGUUAGGGUUAGGGUUGGAGUUAGGGUUAGUGUUGGAGCUAGGGUUAGGGUUGGGCUUGGAGCUAGGAUUUUUCUGAGUGCACUGAACCAACUCCCGAGUCUCUAGGACAUUCCUAAAAAAAUUUGAUUUUUUCCCAUAGGAAUGCAUGGGUUAGGGUUAGGGUUAGGGUUGGAGCUAGGGUUAGGGUUAGGGUUAGGGUUGGAGUUAGGGUUAGUGUUGGAGCUAGGGUUAGGGUUGGGCUUGGAGCUAGGAUUUUUCUGAGUGCACUGAACCAACUCCCGAGUCUCUAGGACAUUCCUAAAAAAAUUUGAUUUUUUCCUAUAGGAAUGCAUGGGUUAGGGUUAUGGUUAGGGUUAGGGUUGGAGCUAGGGUUAGGGUUAGGGUUAGGGUUGGAGUUAGGGUUAGUGUUGGAGCUAGGGUUAGGGUUGGGCUUGGAGCUAGGAUUUUUCUGAGUGCACUGAACCAACUCCCGAGUCUCUAGGACAUUCCUAAAAAAAUUUGAUUUUUUCCCAUAGGAAUGCAUGGGUUAGGGUUAGGGUUAGGGUUGGAGCUAGGGUUAGGGUUAGGGUUAGGGUUGGAGUUAGGGUUAGUGUUGGAGCUAGGGUUAGGGUUGGGCUUGGAGCUAGGAUUUUUCUGAGUGCACUGAACCAACUCCCGAGUCUCUAGGACAUUCCUAAAAAAAUUUGAUUUUUUCCUAUAGGAAUGCAUGGGUUAGGGUUAUGGUUAGGGUUAGGGUUGGAGCUAGGGUUAGGGUUAGGGUUAGGGUUGGAGUUAGGGUUAGUGUUGGAGCUAGGGUUAGGGUUGGGCUUGGAGCUAGGAUUUUUCUGAGUGCACUGAACCAACUCCCGAGUCUCUAGGACAUUCCUAAAAAAAUUUGAUUUUUUCCCAUAGGAAUGCAUGGGUUAGGGUUAUGGUUAGGGUAAGGGUUGGAGCUAGGGUUAGGGUUAGGGUUAGGGUUGGAGUUAGGGUUAGUGUUGGAGCUAGGGUUAGGGUUGGGCUUGGAGCUAGGAUUUUUCUGAGUGCAAUGAACCAACUCCCGAGUCUCUAGGACGUUCCUAAAAAAAUUUGAUUUUUUCCCAUAGGAAUGCAUGGGUUAGGGUUAGGGUUAGGGUUGGAGCUAGUGUUAGGGUUAGGGAUAGGGUUGGAGUUAAGGUUAGUGUUGGAGCUAGGGUUAGGGUUGGGCUUGGAGCUAGGAUUUUUCUGAGUGCAAUGAACCAACUCCCGAGUCUCUAGGACGUUCCUAAAAAAAUUUGAUUUUUUCCCAUAGGAAUGCAUGGGUUAGGGUUAUGGUUAGGGUAAGGGUUGGAGCUAGGGUUAGGGUUAGGGUUAGGGUUGGAGUUAGGGUUAGUGUUGGAGCUAGGGUUAGGGUUGGGCUUGGAGCUAGGAUUUUUCUGAGUGCAAUGAACCAACUCCCGAGUCUCUAGGACGUUCCUAAAAAAAUUUGAUUUUUUCCCAUAGGAAUGCAUGGGUUAGGGUUAGGGUUAGGGUUGGAGCUAGGGUUAGGGUUAGGGAUAGGGUUGGAGUUAAGGUUAGUGUUGGAGCUAGGGUUAGGGUUGGGCUUGGAGCUAGGAUUUUUCUGAGUGCACUGAACCAACUCCCGAGUCUCUAGGACGUUCCUAAAAAAAUUUGAUUUUUUCCCAUAGGAAUGCAUGGGUUAGGGUUAGGGUUAGGGUUAGGGUUGGAGCUAGGGUUAGGGUUAGGGUUAGGGUUGGAGUUAGGGUUGGGCUUGGAGCUAGGGUUAGGGUUGGGCUUGGAGCUAGGAUUUUUCUGAGUGCAAUGAACCAACCCCCGAGUCUCUAGGACGUUCCUAAAAAAAUCUGAUUUUUUCCCAUAGGAAUGCAUGGGUUAGGGUUAUGGUUAGGGUUAGGGUUGGAGCUAGGGUUAGGGUUAGGGUUAGGGUUGGAGUUAGGGUUAGUGUUGGAGCUAGGGUUAGGCUUGGGCUUGGAGCUAGGAUUUUUCUGAGUGCAAUGAACCAACUCCCGAGUCUCUAGGACGUUCCUAAAAAAAUUUGAUUUUUUCCCAUAGGAAUGCAUGGGUUAGGGUUAGGGUUAGGGUUGGAGCUAGGGUUAGGGUUAGGGUUAGGGUUGGAGUUAGGGUUAGUGUUGGAGCUAGGGUUAGGGUUGGGCUUGGAGCUAGGAUUUUUCUGAGUGCACUGAACCAACUCCCGAGUCUCUAGGACAUUCCUAAAAAAAUUUGAUUUUUUCCCAUUGGAAUGCAUGGGUUAGGGUUAGGGUUAGGGUUGGAGCUAGGGUUAGGGUUAGGGUUAGGGUUGGAGUUAGGGUUAGUGUUGGAGCUAGGGUUAGGGUUGGGCUUGGAGCUAGGAUUUUUCUGAGUGCACUGAACCAACUCCCGAGUCUCUAGGACAUUCCUAAAAAAAUUUGAUUUUUUCCCAUAGGAAUGCAUGGGUUAGGGUUAUGGUUAGGGUUAGGGUUGGAGCUAGGGUUAGGGUUAGGGUUAGGGUUGGAGUUAGGGUUAGUGUUGGAGCUAGGGUUAGGGUUGGGCUUGGAGCUAGGAUUUUUCUGAGUGCAAUGAACCAACUCCCGAGUCUCUUGGACGUUCCUAAAAAAAUUUGAUUUUUUCCCAUAGGAAUGCAUGGGUUAGGGUUAGGGUUAGGGUUGGAGCUAGGGUUAGGGUUAGGGUUAGGGUUGGAGUUAGGGUUAGUGUUGGAGCUAGGGUUAGGGUUGGGCUUGGAGCUAGGAUUUUUCUGAGUGCACUGAACCAACUCCCGAGUCUCUAGGACAUUCCUAAAAAAAUUUGAUUUUUUCCCAUAGGAAUGCAUGGGUUAGGGUUAGGGUUAGGGUUGGAGCUAGGGUUAGGGUUAGGGUUAGGGUUGGAGUUAGGGUUAGUGUUGGAGCUAGGGUUAGGGUUGGGCUUGGAGCUAGGAUUUUUCUGAGUGCACUGAACCAACUCCCGAGUCUCUAGGACAUUCCUAAAAAAAUUUGAUUUUUUCCCAUAGGAAUGCAUGGGUUAGGGUUAUGGUUAGGGUUAGGGUUGGAGCUAGGGUUAGGGUUAGGGUUAGGGUUGGAGUUAGGGUUAGUGUUGGAGCUAGGGUUAGGGUUGGGCUUGGAGCUAGGAUUUUUCUGAGUGCACUGAACCAACUCCCGAGUCUCUAGGACAUUCCUAAAAAAAUUUGAUUUUUUCCCAUAGGAAUGCAUGGGUUAGGGUUAGGGUUAGGGUUGGAGCUAGGGUUAGGGUUAGGGUUAGGGUUGGAGUUAGGGUUAGUGUUGGAGCUAGGGUUAGGGUUGGGCUUGGAGCUAGGAUUUUUCUGAGUGCACUGAACCAACUCCCGAGUCUCUAGGACAUUCCUAAAAAAAUUUGAUUUUUUCCCAUAGGAAUGCAUGGGUUAGGGUUAUGGUUAGGGUUAGGGUUGGAGCUAGGGUUAGGGUUAGGGUUAGGGUUGGAGUUAGGGUUAGUGUUGGAGCUAGGGUUAGGGUUGGGCUUGGAGCUAGGAUUUUUCUGAGUGCAAUGAACCAACUCCCGAGUCUCUUGGACGUUCCUAAAAAAAUUUGAUUUUUUCCCAUAGGAAUGCAUGGGUUAGGGUUAGGGUUAGGGUUGGAGCUAGGGUUAGGGUUAGGGUUAGGGUUGGAGUUAGGGUUAGUGUUGGAGCUAGGGUUAGGGUUGGGCUUGGAGCUAGGAUUUUUCUGAGUGCACUGAACCAACUCCCGAGUCUCUAGGACAUUCCUAAAAAAAUUUGAUUUUUUCCCAUAGGAAUGCAUGGGUUAGGGUUAGGGUUAGGGUUGGAGCUAGGGUUAGGGUUAGGGUUAGGGUUGGAGUUAGGGUUAGUGUUGGAGCUAGGGUUAGGGUUGGGCUUGGAGCUAGGAUUUUUCUGAGUGCAAUGAACCAACUCCCGAGUCUCUUGGACGUUCCUAAAAAAAUUUGAUUUUUUCCCAUAGGAAUGCAUGGGUUAGGGUUAGGGUUAGGGUUGGAGCUAGGGUUAGGGUUAGGGUUAGGGUUGGAGUUAGGGUUAGUGUUGGAGCUAGGGAUAGGGUUGGGCUUGGAGCUAGGAUUUUUCUGAGUGCAAUGAACCAACUCCCGAGUCUCUUGGACGUUCCUAAAAAAAUUUGAUUUUUUCCCAUAGGAAUGCAUGGGUUAGGGUUAGGGUUAGGGUUGGAGCUAGGGUUAGGGUUAGGGUUAGGGUUGGAGUUAGGGUUAGUGUUGGAGCUAGGGUUAGGGUUGGGCUUGGAGCUAGGAUUUUUCUGAGUGCAAUGAACCAACUCCCGGGUCUCUAGGACGUUCCUAAAAAAAUUUGAUUUUUUCCCAUAGGAAUGCAUGGGUAAGGGUUAGGGUUAGGGUUGGAGCUAGGAUUAGGGUUAGGGUUAGGGUUGGAGUUAAGGUUAGUGUUGGAGCUAGGGUUAGGGUUGGGCUUGGAGCUAGGAUUUUUCUGAGUGCAAUGAACCAACUCCCGAGUCUCUAGGACGUUCCUAAAAAAAUUUGAUUUUUUCCCAUAGGAAUGCAUGGGUUAGGGUUAUGGUUAGGGUUAGGGUUGGAGCUAGGGUUAGGGUUAGGGUUAGGGUUGGAGUUAGGGUUAGUGUUGGAGCUAGGGUUAGGGUUGGGCUUGGAGCUAGGAUUUUUCUGAGUGCAAUGAACCAACCCCCGAGUCUCUAGGACGUUCCUAAAAAAUUUGAUUUUUUCCCAUAGGAAUGCAUGGGUUAGGGUUAUGGUUAGGGUUAGGGUUGGAGCUAGGGUUAGGGUUAGGGUUAGGGUUGGAGUUAGGGUUAGUGUUGGAGCUAGGGUUAGGGUUGGGCUUGGAGCUAGGAUUUUUCUGAGUGCAAUGAACCAACUCCCGAGUCUCUAGGACGUUCCUAAAAAAUUUGAUUUUUUCCCAUAGGAAUGCAUGGGUUAGGGUUAGGGUUAGGGUUGGAGCUAGGGUUAGGGUUAGGGUUAGGGUUGGAGUUAGGGUUAGUGUUGGAGCUAGGGUUAGGGUUGGGCUUGGAGCUAGGAUUUUUCUUAGUGCAGUGAACCAACUCCCGAGUCUCUAGGACAUUCCUAAAAAAUUUGAUUUUUUCCCAUAGGAAUGCAUGGGUUAGGGUUAGGGUUAGGGUUGGAGCUAGGGUUAGGGUUAGGGUUAGGGUUGGAGUUAGGGUUAGUGUUGGAGCUAGGGUUAGGGUUGGGCUUGGAGCUAGGAUUUUUCUGAGUGCACUGAACCAACUCCCGAGUCUCUAGGACAUUCCUAAAAAAAUUUGAUUUUUUCCCAUAGGAAUGCAUGGGUUAGGGUUAUGGUUAGGGUUAGGGUUGGAGCUAGGGUUAGGGUUAGGGUUAGGGUUGGAGUUAGGGUUAGUGUUGGAGCUAGGGUUAGGGUUGGGCUUGGAGCUAGGAUUUUUCUGAGUGCAAUGAACCAACUCCCGAGUCUCUUGGACGUUCCUAAAAAAAUUUGAUUUUUUCCCAUAGGAAUGCAUGGGUUAGGGUUAGGGUUAGGGUUGGAGCUAGGGUUAGGGUUAGGGUUAGGGUUGGAGUUAGGGUUAGUGUUGGAGCUAGGGUUAGGGUUGGGCUUGGAGCUAGGAUUUUUCUGAGUGCACUGAACCAACUCCCGAGUCUCUAGGACAUUCCUAAAAAAAUUUGAUUUUUUCCCAUAGGAAUGCAUGGGUUAGGGUUAGGGUUAGGGUUGGAGCUAGGGUUAGGGUUAGGGUUAGGGUUGGAGUUAGGGUUAGUGUUGGAGCUAGGGUUAGGGUUGGGCUUGGAGCUAGGAUUUUUCUGAGUGCACUGAACCAACUCCCGAGUCUCUAGGACAUUCCUAAAAAAAUUUGAUUUUUUCCCAUAGGAAUGCAUGGGUUAGGGUUAUGGUUAGGGUUAGGGUUGGAGCUAGGGUUAGGGUUAGGGUUAGGGUUGGAGUUAGGGUUAGUGUUGGAGCUAGGGUUAGGGUUGGGCUUGGAGCUAGGAUUUUUCUGAGUGCAAUGAACCAACUCCCGAGUCUCUUGGACGUUCCUAAAAAAAUGUGAUUUUUUCCCAUAGGAAUGCAUGGGUUAGGGUUAGGGUUAGGGUUGGAGCUAGGGUUAGGGUUAGGGUUAGGGUUGGAGUUAGGGUUAGUGUUGGAGCUAGGGUUAGGGUUGGGCUUGGAGCUAGGAUUUUUCUGAGUGCACUGAACCAACUCCCGAGUCUCUAGGACAUUCCUAAAAAAAUUUGAUUUUUUCCCAUAGGAAUGCAUGGGUUAGGGUUAGGGUUAGGGUUGGAGCUAGGGUUAGGGUUAGGGUUAGGGUUGGAGUUAGGGUUAGUGUUGGAGCUAGGGUUAGGGUUGGGCUUGGAGCUAGGAUUUUUCUGAGUGCACUGAACCAACUCCCGAGUCUCUAGGACAUUCCUAAAAAAAUUUGAUUUUUUCCCAUAGGAAUGCAUGGGUUAGGGUUAUGGUUAGGGUUAGGGUUGGAGCUAGGGUUAGGGUUAGGGUUAGGGUUGGAGUUAGGGUUAGUGUUGGAGCUAGGGUUAGGGUUGGGCUUGGAGCUAGGAUUUUUCUGAGUGCAAUGAACCAACUCCCGAGUCUCUUGGACGUUCCUAAAAAAAUUUGAUUUUUUCCCAUAGGAAUGCAUGGGUUAGGGUUAGGGUUAGGGUUGGAGCUAGGGUUAGGGUUAGGGUUAGGGUUGGAGUUAGGGUUAGUGUUGGAGCUAGGGUUAGGGUUGGGCUUGGAACUAGGAUUUUUCUGAGUGCAAUGAACCAACUCCCGAGUCUCUAGGACGUUCCUAAAAAAAUUUGAUUUUUUCCCAUAGGAAUGCAUGGGUUAGGGUUAGGGUUAGGGUUGGAGCUAGGGUUAGGGUUAGGGUUAGGGUUGGAGUUAAGGUUAGUGUUGGAGCUAGGGUUAGGGUUGGGCUUGGAGCUAGGAUUUUUCUGAGUGCAAUGAACCAACUCCCGAGUCUCUAGGACGUUCCUAAAAAAAUUUGAUUUUUUCCCAUAGGAAUGCAUGGGUUAGGGUUAUGGUUAGGGUUAGGGUUGGAGCUAGGGUUAGGGUAAGGGUUAGGGUUGGAGUUAGGGUUAGUGUUGGAGCUAGGGUUAGGGUUGGGCUUGGAGCUAGGAUUUUUCUGAGUGCAAUGAACCAACCCCCGAGUCUCUAGGACGUUCCUAAAAAAAUUUGAUUUUUUCCCAUAGGAAUGCAUGGGUUAGGGUUAUGGUUAGGGUUAGGGUUGGAGCUAGGGUUAGGGUUAGGGUUGGAGUUAGGGUUAGUGUUGGAGCUAGGGUUAGGGUUGGGCUUGGAGCUAGGAUUUUUCUGAGUGCAAUGAACCAACUCCCGAGUCUCUAGGACAUUCCUAAAAAAAUUUGAUUUUUUUCCCAUAGGAAUGCAUGGGUUAGGGUUAGGGUUAGGGUUGGAGCUAGGGUUAGGGUUAGGGUUAGGGUUGGAGUUAGGGUUAGUGUUGGAGCUAGGGUUAGGGUUGGGCUUGGAGCUAGGAUUUUUCUGAGUGCAAUGAACCAACUCCCGAGUCUCUAGGACGUUCCUAAAAAAAUUUGAUUUUUUCCCAUAGGAAUGCAUGGGUUAGGGUUAGGGUUAGGGUUGGAGCUAGGGUUAGGGUUAGGGUUAGGGUUGGAGUUAGGGUUAGUGUUGGAGCUAGGGUUAGGGUUGGGCUUGGAGCUAGGAUUUUUCUGAGUGCACUGAACCAACUCCUGAGUCUCUAGGACAUUCCUAAAAAAAUUGAUUUUUUCCCAUAGGAAUGCAUGGGUUAGGGUUAGGGUUAGGGUUGGAGCUAGGGUUAGGGUUAGGGUUAGGGUUGGAGUUAGGGUUAGUGUUGGAGCUAGGGUUAGGGUUGGGCUUGGAGCUAGGAUUUUUCUGAGUGCACUGAACCAACUCCCGAGUCUCUAGGACAUUCCUAAAAAAAUUUGAUUUUUUCCCAUAGGAAUGCAUGGGUUAGGGUUAGGGUUAGGGUUGGAGCUAGGGUUAGGGUUAGGGUUAGGGUUGGAGUUAGGGUUAGUGUUGGAGCUAGGGUUAGGGUUGGGCUUGGAGCUAGGAUUUUUCUGGGUGCAAUGAACCAACUCCCGAGUCUCUUGGACGUUCCUAAAAAAUUUGAUUUUUUCCCAUUGCAAUGCAUUUGUUAGGGUUAGGGUUAGGGUUAGGGUUAGGGUUGGAGCUAGGGUUAGGGUUAGGGUUAGGGUUGGAGUUAGGGUUAGUGUUGGAGCUAGGGUUAGGGUUGGGCUUGGAGCUAGGAUUUUUCUGAGUGCAAUGAACCAACUCCCGAGUCUCUAGGACGUUCCUAAAAAAAUUUGAUUUUUUCCCAUAGGAAUGCAUGGGUUAGGGUUAUGGUUAGGGUUAGGGUUGGAGCUAGGGUUAGGGUUAGGGUUAGGGUUGGAGUUAGGGUUAGUGUUGGAGCUAGGGUUAGGGUUGGGCUUGGAGCUAGGAUUUUUCUGAGUGCAAUGAACCAACCCCCGAGUCUCUAGGACGUUCCUAAAAAAAUUUGAUUUUUUCCCAUAGGAAUGCAUGGGUUAGGGUUAUGGUUAGGGUUAGGGUUGGAGCUAGGGUUAGGGUUAGGGUUAGGGUUGGAGUUAGGGUUAGUGUUGGAGCUAGGGUUAGGGUUGGGCUUGGAGCUAGGAUUUUUCUGAGUGCAAUGAACCAACUCCCGAGUCUCUAGGACGUUCCUAAAAAAAUUUGAUUUUUUCCCAUAGGAAUGCAUGGGUUAGGGUUAGGGUUAGGGUUGGAGCUAGGGUUAGGGUUAGGGUUAGGGUUGGAGUUAGGGUUAGUGUUGGAGCUAGGGUUAGGGUUGGGCUUGGAGCUAGGAUUUUUCUGAGUGCAAUGAACCAACUCCCGAAUCUCUAGGACAUUCCUAAAAAAAUUUGAUUUUUUCCCAUAGGAAUGCAUGGGUUAGGGUUAGGGUUAGGGUUGGAGCUAGGGUUAGGGUUAGGGUUAGGGUUGGAGUUAGGGUUAGUGUUGGAGCUAGGGUUAGGGUUGGGCUUGGAGCUAGGAUUUUUCUGAGUGCACUGAACCAACUCCCGAGUCUCUAGGACAUUCCAAAAAAAAUUUGAUUUUUUCCCAUAGGAAUGCAUGGGUUAGGGUUAUGGUUAGGGUUAGGGUUGGAGCUAGGGUUAGGGUUAGGGUUAGGGUUGGAGUUAGGGUUAGUGUUGGAGCUAGGGUUAGGGUUGGGCUUGGAGCUAGGAUUUUUCUGAGUGCAAUGAACCAACUCCCGAGUCUCUUGGACGUUCCUAAAAAAAUUUGAAUUUUUCCAAUAGGAAUGCAUGGGUUAGGGUUAGGGUUAGGGUUGGAGCUAGGGUUAGGGUUAGGGUUAGGGUUGGAGUUAGGGUUAGUGUUGGAGCUAGGGUUAGGGUUGGGCUUGGAGCUAGGAUUUUUCUGAGUGCACUGAACCAACUCCCGAGUCUCUAGGACGUUCCUAAAAAAAUUUGAUUUUUUCCCAUAGGAAUGCAUGGGUUAGGGUUAGGGUUAGGGUUGGAGCUAGGGUUAGGGUUAGGGUUAGGGUUGGAGUUAGGGUUAGUGUUGGAGCUAGGGUUAGGGUUGGGCUUGGAGCUAGGAUUUUUCUGAGUGCACUGAACCAACUCCUGAGUCUCUAGGACAUUCCUAAAAAAAUUGAUUUUUUCCCAUAGGAAUGCAUGGGUUAGGGUUAGGGUUAGGGUUGGAGCUAGGGUUAGGGUUAGGGUUAGGGUUGGAGUUAGGGUUAGUGUUGGAGCUAGGGUUAGGGUUGGGCUUGGAGCUAGGAUUUUUCUGAGUGCACUGAACCAACUCCCGAGUCUCUAGGACAUUCCUAAAAAAAAUUGAUUUUUUCCCAUAGGAAUGCAUGGGUUAGGGUUAGGGUUAGGGUUGGAGCUAGGGUUAGGGUUAGGGUUAGGGUUGGAGUUAGGGUUAGUGUUGGAGCUAGGGUUAGGGUUGGGCUUGGAGCUAGGAUUUUUCUGAGUGCACUGAACCAACUCCCGAGUCUCUAGGACAUUCCUAAAAAAAUUUGAUUUUUUCCCAUAGGAAUGCAUGGGUUAGGGUUAUGGUUAGGGUUAGGGUUAGGGUUGGAGUUAGGGUUAGUGUUGGAGCUAGGGUUAGGGUUGGGCUUGGAGCUAGGAUUUUUCUGAGUGCAAUGAACCAACUCCCGAGUCUCUUGGACGUUCCUAAAAAAAAUUGAUUUUUUCCCAUAGGAAUGCAUGGGUUAGGGUUAGGGUUAGGGUUGGAGCUAGGGUUAGGGUUAGGGUUAGGGUUGGAGUUAGGGUUAGUGUUGGAGCUAGGGUUAGGGUUGGGCUUGGAGCUAGGAUUUUUCUGAGUGCAAUGAACCAACUCCCGAGUCUCUAGGACGUUCCUAAAAAAUUUGAUUUUUUCCCAUAGGAAUGCAUGGGUUAGGGUUAGGGUUAGGGUUGGAGCUAGGGUUAGGGUUAGGGUUAGGGUUCGAGUUAAGGUUAGUGUUGGAGCUAGGGUUAGGGUUGGGCUUGGAGCUAGGAUUUUUCUGAGUGCAAUGAACCAACUCCCGAGUCUCUAGGACGUUCCUAAAAAAAUUUGAUUUUUUCCCAUAGGAAUGCAUGGGUUAGGGUUAUGGUUAGGGUUAGGGUUGGAGCUAGGGUUAGGGUUAGGGUUAGGGUUGGAGUAAGGGUUAGUGUUGGAGCUAGGGUUAGGGUUGGGCUUGGAGCUAGGAUUUUUCUGAGUGCAAUGAACCAACCCCCGAGUCUCUAGGACGUUCCUAAAAAAUUUGAUUUUUUCCCAUAGGAAUGCAUGGAUUAGGGUUAGGGUUAGGGUUGGAGCUAGGGUUAGGGUUAGGGUUAGGGUUGGAGUUAGGGUUAGUGUUGGAGCUAGGGUUAGGGUUGGGCUUGGAGCUAGGAUUUUUCUGAGUGCAAUGAACCAACUCCCGAGUCUCUAGGACGUUCCUAAAAAAAUUUGAUUUUUUCCCAUAGGAAUGCAUGGGUUAGGGUUAGGGUUAGGGUUGGAGCUAGGGUUAGGGUUAGGGUUAGGGUUGGAGUUAGGGUUAGUGUUGGAGCUAGGGUUAGGGUUGGGCUUGGAGCUAGGAUUUUUCUGAGUGCACUGAACCAACUCCCGAGUCUCUAGGACAUUCCUAAAAAAAUUUGAUUUUUUCCCAUAGGAAUGCAUGGGUUAGGGUUAGGGUUAGGGUUGGAGCUAGGGUUAGGGUUAGGGUUAGGGUUGGAGUUAGGGUUAGUGUUGGAGCUAGGGUUAGGGUUGGGCUUGGAGCUAGGAUUUUUCUGAGUGCACUGAACCAACUCCCGAGUCUCUAGGACAUUCCUAAAAAAUUUGAUUUUUUCCCAUAGGAAUGCAUGGGUUAGGGUUAGGGUUAGGGUUGGAGCUAGGGUUAGGGUUAGGGUUAGGGUUGGAGUUAGGGUUAGUGUUGGAGCUAGGGUUAGGGUUGGGCUUGGAGCUAGGAUUUUUCUGAGUGCAAUGAACCAACCCCCGAGUCUCUAGGACGUCCCAAAAAAAAUUUGAUUUUUUCCCAUAGGAAUGCAUGGGUUAGGGUUAUGGUAAGGGUUAGGGUUGGAGCUAGGGUUAGGGUUAGGGUUAGGGUUGGAGUUAGGGUUAGUGUUGGAGCUAGGGUUAGGGUUGGGCUUGGAGCUAGGAUUUUUCUGAGUGCAAUGAACCAACUCCCGAGUCUCUAGGACAUUCCUAAAAAAAUUUGAUUUUUUCCCAUAGGAAUGCAUGGGUUAGGGUUAGGGUUAGGGUUGGAGCUAGGGUUAGGGUUAGGGUUAGGGUUGGAGUUAGGGUUAGUGUUGGAGCUAGGGUUAGGGUUGGGCUUGGAGCUAGGAUUUUUCUGAGUGCAAUGAACCAACUCCCGAGUCUCUUGGACGUUCCUAAAAAAAUUUGAUUUUUUCCCAUAGGAAUGCAUGGGUUAGGGUUAGGGUUAGGGUUGGAGCUAGGGUUAGGGUUAGGGUUAGGGUUGGAGUUAGGGUUAGUGUUGGAGCUAGGGUUAGGGUUGGGCUUGGAGCUAGGAUUUUUCUGAGUGCACUGAACCAACUCCCGAGUCUCUAGGACAUUCCUAAAAAAAUUUGAUUUUUUCCCAUAGGAAUGCAUGGGUUAGGGUUAUGGUUAGGGUUAGGGUUGGAGCUAGGGUUAGGGUUAGGGUUAGGGUUGGAGUUAGGGUUAGUGUUGGAGCUAGGGUUAGGGUUGGGCUUGGAGCUAGGAUUUUUCUGAGUGCAAUGAACCAACUCCCGAGUCUCUUGGACGUUCCUAAAAAAAUUUGAUUUUUUUCCAUAGGAAUGCAUGGGUUAGGGUUAGGGUUAGGGUUGGAGCUAGGGUUAGGGUUAGGGUUAGGGUUGGAGUUAGGGUUAGUGUUGGAGCUAGGGUUAGGGUUGGGCUUGGAGCUAGGAUUUUUCUGAGUGCACUGAACCAACUCCCGAGUCUCUAGGACAUUCCUAAAAAAAUUUGAUUUUUUCCCAUAGGAAUGCAUGGGUUAGGGUUAGGGUUAGGGUUGGAGCUAGGGUUAGGGUUAGGGUUAGGGUUGGAGUUAGGGUUAGUGUUGGAGCUAGGGUUAGGGUUGGGCUUGGAGCUAGGAUUUUUCUGAGUGCACUGAACCAACUCUCGAGUCUCUAGGACAUUCCUAAAAAAAUUUGAUUUUUUCCCAUAGGAAUGCAUGGGUUAGGGUUAGGGUUAGUGUUGGAGCUAGGGUUAGGGUUGGGCUUGGAGCUAGGAUUUUUCUGAGUGCAAUGAACCAACUCCCGAGUCUCUAGGACGUUCCUAAAAAAAUUUGAUUUUUUCCCAUAGGAAUGCAUGGGUUAGGGUUAGGGUUAGGGUUGGAGCUAGGGUUAGGGUUAGGGUUAGGGUUCGAGUUAAGGUUAGUGUUGGAGCUAGGGUUAGGGUUGGGCUUGGAGCUAGGAUUUUUCUGAGUGCAAUGAACCAACUCCCGAGUCUCUAGGACGUUCCUAAAAAAAUUUGAUUUUUUCCCAUAGGAAUGCAUGGGUUAGGGUUAUGGUUAGGGUUAGGGUUGGAGCUAGGGUUAGGGUUAGGGUUAGGGUUGGAGUAAGGGUUAGUGUUGGAGCUAGGGUUAGGGUUGGGCUUGGAGCUAGGAUUUUUCUGAGUGCAAUGAACCAACUCCCGAGUCUCUAGGACGUUCCUAAAAAAAUUUGAUUUUUUCCCAUAGGAAUGCAUGGAUUAGGGUUAGGGUUAGGGUUGGAGCUAGGGUUAGGGUUAGGGUUAGGGUUGGAGUUAGGGUUAGUGUUGGAGCUAGGGUUAGGGUUGGGCUUGGAGCUAGGAUUUUUCUGAGUGCAAUGAACCAACUCCCGAGUCUCUAGGACGUUCCUAAAAAAAUUUGAUUUUUUCCCAUAGGAAUGCAUGGGUUAGGGUUAGGGUUAGGGUUGGAGCUAGGGUUAGGGUUAGGGUUAGGGUUGGAGUUAGGGUUAGUGUUGGAGCUAGGGUUAGGGUUGGGCUUGGAGCUAGGAUUUUUCUGAGUGCACUGAACCAACUCCCGAGUCUCUAGGACAUUCCUAAAAAAAUUUGAUUUUUUCCCAUAGGAAUGCAUGGGUUAGGGUUAGGGUUAGGGUUGGAGCUAGGGUUAGGGUUAGGGUUAGGGUUGGAGUUAGGGUUAGUGUUGGAGCUAGGGUUAGGGUUGGGCUUGGAGCUAGGAUUUUUCUGAGUGCACUGAACCAACUCCCGAGUCUCUAGGACAUUCCUAAAAAAAUUUGAUUUUUUCCCAUAGGAAUGCAUGGGUUAGGGUUAGGGUUAGGGUUGGAGCUAGGGUUAGGGUUAGGGUUAGGGUUGGAGUUAGGGUUAGUGUUGGAGCUAGGGUUAGGGUUGGGCUUGGAGCUAGGAUUUUUCUGAGUGCAAUGAACCAACCCCCGAGUCUCUAGGACGUCCCAAAAAAAAUUUGAUUUUUUCCCAUAGGAAUGCAUGGGUUAGGGUUAUGGUAAGGGUUAGGGUUGGAGCUAGGGUUAGGGUUAGGGUUAGGGUUGGAGUUAGGGUUAGUGUUGGAGCUAGGGUUAGGGUUGGGCUUGGAGCUAGGAUUUUUCUGAGUGCAAUGAACCAACUCCCGAGUCUCUAGGACAUUCCUAAAAAAAUUUGAUUUUUUCCCAUAGGAAUGCAUGGGUUAGGGUUAGGGUUAGGGUUGGAGCUAGGGUUAGGGUUAGGGUUAGGGUUGGAGUUAGGGUUAGUGUUGGAGCUAGGGUUAGGGUUGGGCUUGGAGCUAGGAUUUUUCUGAGUGCAAUGAACCAACUCCCGAGUCUCUUGGACGUUCCUAAAAAAAUUUGAUUUUUUCCCAUAGGAAUGCAUGGGUUAGGGUUAGGGUUAGGGUUGGAGCUAGGGUUAGGGUUAGGGUUAGGGUUGGAGUUAGGGUUAGUGUUGGAGCUAGGGUUAGGGUUGGGCUUGGAGCUAGGAUUUUUCUGAGUGCAAUGAACCAACUCCCGAGUCUCUAGGACGUUCCUAAAAAAAUUUGAUUUUUUCCCAUAGGAAUGCAUGGGUUAGGGUUAGGGUUAGGGUUGGAGCUAGGGUUAGGGUUAGGGUUAGGGUUGGAGUUAAGGUUAGUGUUGGAGCUAGGGUUAGGGUUGGGCUUGGAGCUAGGAUUUUUCUGAGUGCAAUGAACCAACUCCCGAGUCUCUAGGACGUUCCUAAAAAAAUUUGAUUUUUUCCCAUAGGAAUGCAUGGGUUAGGGUUAUGGUUAGGGUUAGGGUUGGAGCUAGGGUUAGGGUUAGGGUUAGGGUUGGAGUUAGGGUUAGUGUUGGAGCUAGGGUUAGGGUUGGGCUUGGAGCUAGGAUUUUUCUGAGUGCAAUGAACCAACCCCCGAGUCUCUAGGACGUUCCUAAAAAAAUUUGAUUUUUUCCCAUAGGAAUGCAUGGGUUAGGGUUAUGGUUAGGGUUAGGGUUGGAGCUAGGGUUAGGGUUAGGGUUAGGGUUGGAGUUAGGGUUAGUGUUGGAGCUAGGGUUAGGGUUGGGCUUGGAGCUAGGAUUUUUCUGAGUGCAAUGAACCAACUCCCGAGUCUCUAGGACGUUCCUAAAAAAAUUUGAUUUUUUCCCAUAGGAAUGCAUGGGUUAGGGUUAGGGUUAGGGUUGGAGCUAGGGUUAGGGUUAGGGUUAGGGUUGGAGUUAGGGUUAGUGUUGGAGCUAGGGUUAGGGUUGGGCUUGGAGCUAGGAUUUUUCUGAGUGCACUGAACCAACUCCCGAGUCUCUAGGACAUUCCUAAAAAAAUUUGAUUUUUUCCCAUAGGAAUGCAUGGGUUAGGGUUAGGGUUAGGGUUGGAGCUAGGGUUAGGGUUAGGGUUAGGGUUGGAGUUAGGGUUAGUGUUGGAGCUAGGGUUAGGGUUGGGCUUGGAGCUAGGAUUUUUCUGAGUGCACUGAACCAACUCCCGAGUCUCUAGGACAUUCCUAAUAAAAUUUGAUUUUUUCCAAUAGGAAUGCAUGGGUUAGGGUUAGGGUUAGGGUUGGAGCUAGGGUUAGGGUUAGGGUUAGGGUUGGAGUUAGGGUUAGUGUUGGAGCUAGGGUUAGGGUUGGGCUUGGAGCUAGGAUUUUUCUGAGUGCACUGAACCAACUCCCGAGUCUCUAGGACAUUCCUAAAAAAAUUUGAUUUUUUCCCAUAGGAAUGCAUGGGUUAGGGUUAUGGUUAGGGUUAGGGUUGGAGCUAGGGUUAGGGUUAGGGUUAGGGUUGGAGUUAGGGUUAGUGUUGGAGCUAGGGUUAGGGUUGGGCUUGGAGCUAAGGAUUUUUCUGAGUGCAAUGAACCAACUCCCGAGUCUCUUGGACGUUCCUAAAAAAAUUUGAUUUUUUUCCAUAGGAAUGCAUGGGUUAGGGUUAGGGUUAGGGUUGGAGCUAGGGUUAGGGUUAGGGUUAGGGUUGGAGUUAGGGUUAGUGUUGGAGCUAGGGUUAGGGUUGGGCUUGGAGCUAGGAUUUUUCUGAGUGCACUGAACCAACUCCCGAGUCUCUAGGACAUUCCUAAAAAAAUUUGAUUUUUUCCCAUAGGAAUGCAUGGGUUA